rnacentral:lncRNA from 1 species
UUGUGCACUCUUUAACUAUUGUGUAAAGAUGACAACUCACGACUUUGAUUUGGGGAUUUUUAAUAGAAAGGGUGAUUUUGCUAUUUGGCAACAAAAACUGAAGGGCAUUUUAGUCCAACAAAAAGUUUCAAAGGUCAUUGAAGGCAAUUUUUUAAUUGAUUUUUCACAAGAAUAAAGAGAAGAAGCCGAUGAGUUUGCCUAUACCUCAAUCAUUUUACACUUGUCUGACACCGUUUUAAGAAAGGUGACUAAACUGAAAACCACUAAAGAAUUUUGGAAAAAAUUGGAAGACUUAUAUUUGUUUAAGUCUACACUGAAUAAACUUUACUUGCUCGAACGUUUUUUCAGUUUUAAAAUGGAUCCUUCAAAGGUCUCGAUGACAGUUUAGACGUGUUUAACAAAUUGGUGCAAGAUAUAGAUAAUUGUGAUUCUGAAACUUAUAAGGCUAUAAUUUUGUUCAAUGCAAUUUCUGUUUCAUAUAAGGAAGUUAAGAACGCUAUUAAGUAUCGUAUAGAUAUGUUGACACCUGAAAUUGUCAUAGACUCUCUUAGAAGUAAAGAAAUGGAAAUUAGGGCUGAAAAACACGAUAAGAGGAACGGUGAGGUACAUAUGAUGGAGGGUACAACUCAAUUUAGGCAAAAUAGUCAUGAUGAAUAUCAAACUAGUGGCGAGUCAAGUGGUAAUGGAUGGAAAAAGAAGAGCAAAGGUAGGUCUAGAUCAAAAUCUAGGACUAAAGUAAGAAAAUGCUAUGGUUGUGGAAACAUGGGACAUUUUAUAAAGGAUUGUCAUAACGAGAAGGGUAAGCUAAAGGUUAAGGAGAGAAAUGAGGUCAAUGUGUUAACACCUACUUCCGAUAUAAAUGGUGGUGAGGUCUAUAUGAUUACAAGUCUCGUUGCAUGUACUGCUGAAUUAAAUCUAACUGCUAAUUCCCGCACGCAUGAGUAGAUACUUGACUCUAGUGCAUCUUUUCAUGUGACGUCUGAGAAGAAUUGGUUUUAUAAAUUGCAUGAAUAUAAUGUUGGGCAUGUUGUGCUGUGUGAUAACUUUGACUAUACUAUUGCUGGAAUUGGUGAUAUAAACGUAAAAUUUGACACAGGUUUUGUGUACACAUUAAAGAAUGUUAGAUAUAUUCCUGAAUUGUCUAGGAAUCUGAUUUCAGUAGGGAGACUUGAAAAGAAUGACUUUACUGGUAAAAUUGGAAAUGGUAUGCUAAAAAUGAUCAAGGGUGCUUUAGUUUCCAUUAAGGGAAUUAAGAAAAACGAUAUAUAUAUUACUAUUGGGAAAGUGAUUAGAGGUUUGAACUCCUCUAUCUCUUCUGCCAAGAUUGAUCACACACACACAUGGCAUAAUAAACUUGCUUAUGUAGGCACCAAGAGACUUAAGCUACUUAAUGAAAAAGGUGCUUUUGGUAAUGAGUGUGUGUCAGAUUUGUCAUUUUGUGAUCAUUGUGUGCUUGGUAAGCAUCAUAAAACUUCUUUCUCCACAAGUGUUAAUAGAGCUAAAGGUAUGCUUGAAUAUGUGCACUCUGAUCUGUGGGGUCCUGCUAGUAAUCCCACAUCGGGUGGGAAUAAGUAUUUUCUGUCUAUUAUCGAUGACUACACUAGAAAAGUGUGGGUCUAUCUAUUGAAAGAUAAAUCUGAGACCUUUAAUAGUUAUAACAAUUGGAAGAGACAAGUAGAAAAUCAAACUGGCAAGAAAAUCAAAUUUUUAAAACAGAUAACGGCCUAGAAUUCUGCAAUAAGGAAUUUGAUAGUAUGUGUAAAGAAAGUGGCAUAACUAGACAUAAAAUCGUUCCUUACACUCCUCAACAAAAUGGGAUAGCAAAAAUGAUUAAUAGGACCAUACUUGAUAAAGUACGUUGCAUGAUAUUAAAUUCUGGGGUUCCCAAGUCAUUUUGGGGUGAGGCUGUUAUGACUGCUUGUUAUUUGAUUAACCUGACGCCUCCUGCUGCAUUGAAUGAUGACACUCCGCAUGAGAGAUGGUCGGGUAAACUGAGUGAUUACUCGAUGCUUAGAACUUUUGGCUGUACGGCUUUUUCUCAUCAAAGUGGGGGAAAGCUGGAACCUAGAGUUAGGAAGUGUAUCUUUCUAGGAUACCCCGAGGGUAUUAAGGGUUAUAUGUUAUGGGAUAGAAGCCAAAAAGGGGUUAAGAUCAUCAUAAGUAGGGAUGUCACGUUUAACAAGAAUGAGAUGCCGUGUAUUAAAAGGGAAACUGAACCAGGUGAAGAAAGAGACCCGUUUAAGGUGGAGUUAGGAAAGCUCAGUACACCUACCCCUAUUGCUCCUAAUGAGGUGGAAAUUCAAGUUCAGGAACCUGAGGUGGAGAAUAGUAACGAAGUAGUGAUAGAAGAGCACUAUGAGGAAGAAAAUCAUUUAGCUAACUACAACUUCGUUAGGGAUAGAAAGAGGAGACAAACGAGAGAACCUAGAAGGUUCGAUUUUGAAUCUGAAUGAGUUUUCGCCCAGGCUAGUUAUGAAGAAUUAGUUGAUAAAGAGCCAAAAACCUUUGAAGAGGCAAUAGGCAGUGAUCAAUCUAAUGAAUGGCUUAAGGAAAUGAAAGAAGAGAUGAGUUCUCUAAAAAAGAAUCAUACUUGGGAGUUAGUACCUAGGCCUAAGAACAAAUCGAUUGUUGAUUACAAAUGGGUCUUUAAGGUUAAGGAAGGUACUAGUAGCUUGAAACCCUUAAGGUUUAAAACUAAGUUAGUAGCUAAAGGCUACACACAGAAAGAGGGCGUUGAUUAUAAUGAGAUUUUCUCACCAGUUGUUAAGUACACCACUAUUAGGGUCAUGCUCACAUUGGUUGCACACUCUGAUUGGGAACUUGAACAACUUGAUGUAAAACUGCCUUUUUACAUGGUGAGCUUGAUGAACAAAUCUUCAUGAAUCAACCAAAAGGUUUUAAGGACAAGUCAAAACCUGAUUAUGUGUGUUUUCUGAGAAGAUCCUUGUAUGGGUUAAAACAAUCUCCUAGACAGUGGUACAAGAGGUUUGAUUCCUUUGUACCCACUAUAGGGUUCCAAAGAAGUAAAUUUGAUCACUGUUUGUAUUUUCAACACAGUGAGACUGAUGAUAAUUAUCUGUUUUUGUUGCUCUAUGUGGACGACAUGCUCUUGAUUAGAUCAUCCUCUAAGUGGAUAAAUAACAUAAAAACAAAACUAAGUGGUGAAUUUUGACAUAAAAGGCCUAGAUAAAGCUAAGAGAAUCCAAGGUAUGAAAAUAGAAAGAGAUAGGUCAAAUUCCGUUUUGUUUUUACAUCAGUCUCCAUACAUAUCCAAAGUAUUGAAGAAAUUUAAUAUGAGUGAUUGCAAACCCUAUCACGUUGCCUCUUGCUAAUCAUUUUGUUUUAUCGAAGGAACAAUCCCUUUGCAAUGAGCCUGAAGUAAAAUAAAUGAGUAGAGUACCUUACUCUAAUGUGAUUGAUUUCAUAAUGUAUUUGAUGGUUUACACUAAAUCGGAUUUAGGUUUUGCUGUUAGUACUCUCAGUAGAUACAUAGCUAAUCCGGGCCCUGAACAUUGGGAAGCGCUAAAGUGGCUAUUAAAGUACUUGAAGGGUACAAGUGACGUAGGUUUAAAGUUUAGUGCUAAUAAAGAAGGUAUAAAAUUAAAGGGUUUUGUAGAUACUGAUUAUGCGGGAGAUAGGGAUGGUAGGAAAUUCACUUCGUCUUACGUGUUUACCUUAUCUAAUUCAUGUGUUAGUUGGAAAUCACAAUUACAACAUAUUGUUGCACUAACCACUACAGAAUGAGAAUAUAUUUCUACCAAUGAAGCUAUUAAAGAAGCUCUAUCGCUUAGAGGCCUACUUCAUGAACUAUGUGUCUUGAAUGAUUAUGUGGAUGUGUAGUCUGAUAGUCGGUCACCUAUACAUUUGUGCAAGAACACCGUUUUUCACGAGAGCACUAAACACAUUGAUGUUAGACUCCACUUUAUUAGAGAUAUAGUAGCUCAAGAGGUGGUAAGACUUGAAAAGGUCCACACACACUACAACCCUUCCGAUAAGGGGACGAAGGUACUGCCACUAGCAAAGUUUAGAAGUUGCAAGAAACUUCUAAAUAUUGAUACAGGUAAAUGAUUUCCAAUUUUAUUUGUUUUCUAUUAGAGGUGUCACUAAUGGGAGACAUUUUCUUUUGCAGGUCUUUUGACACUAAGGUGGAGGUUGUUAGGCAAUUUGUUGUCAAACAACCUCCAGGGCAAUGAUGUAACAUCGAUUUUAUUUAUUAUCAAUCGGCCUUGGCCAUAUGAUUGAAUUAUAUGUCAACACUAUCAUCAAGACAAUCCAACCCACAUCUCUAUGGACCGUUAGAAGCAACCUAUUUUAAUAGUGUUGCUCAUGGUUCGUCUCAUUUACUUGGAGGGCUAUGUUAUUCAUUUGGAGCCCAUUACCUUGUGUUGAGCCUUGUUUGGACCACUAAGUUAACCUAACCUAACUUACCAUUUUUGGUCACUCAUUUGGCUUAUAACCUACGGCUCCUCUACACCUCCACCAUGAAGAACACUCCAUCUCUUUCUGUGACUUUGAUUCUCGGCCUCUUUCCUUCAUAUAACUUGUGUGGUUUCUCUUGGGCUAUACAUUGUUCUUCAUCUUGGCCGACUCUUUGUGAGUAUAUAUAUAGCAACCGUAUGUGGGAAGGAAGGAGGUGGAAGUUGGGUGUUGUCUCAAUCGAGGUUGUGUCGAUAUAUGGUGGAAACUGAGCCCGGUAUCACCUUGGUUAUUGCUGAAAUUACACCUUACAACAGCAAAAUAGUAUCAAAAUGCUGGGAGAUUUUACCACCCAACGCGCAUUAUUUGGUGGCGCUAUCACCAGGUCUUUCCCCCUUCGCUUCCAGGUUGGCAUUUGGUAAUUUCUUUUGUUUUUUCUCUGAUUUCUUGGUAUAAUUUUUUUGCGUGAAAAAAUAUGUUACUGAUGAAUUCAUGCUUGUACUGAUUUUCAUUGUGAAGGAUGUGAGUACUAUUCGCCAAGUUCCUGAUCAUCAGGUUAGUUAAUUAAUGAAGAUUAUUGAUUUUUUUUGGGUUUUUGGUAUUUUCCUGUUUUCGGUGAUUCAAUGAUGAUUUAUCUUUUGAUUGCCUUGUUUAUGGAAUGUCUUUAGGAGGUAUUUGUGGACCCUACGCGCGAUGAGAGCUUGAUAUUUGAAUUGCUGGACUUGAAGGCUGACGUGCUGGAUGAGGGGAGUGCCACGUGGUUUCUUCAAGACCUUGCCAACGAACAAGAUGCUGAUGGAACGAUGGUAAAAUUUGAAUUUUCCAUUUUGUUUUGCUUUUGAUGUCGCUCGGUGGAAUUCUUGAAUCUUGAUUAGUCAAUCACAAAUUAUGGAGUAGCUACUGACUAUAUUUUAAGGUACUUGCUGUGAUAAUUAAGUGAAUCUUAAAUUUGAGCCGUUAGUCUCAGUUUGAUUACAUGUAUAAUUUUUGCCUUGUGCAUGAACAAAAAAUAAGAACUUUUUUUGGUAACAAUUUUCUAGAGAGGUAUAUCUUUUAAAUCAAUUACUUUUCUACGAUCUGCGUCCGUUGGAUUAUUGUUGAGAUGUGGCAGUAACUUUGGUGGUCGAGAAUUACACUAGCAAUAAUGGUUUGAAUACAUUUCCCUUCCUGGGAUUUCUUAAAUUUCAACUUAAUUAAUCACCAUACGUUUUCUGGAUUUUCUUAUAUGCAAAACAAGGCCGUAUGAUUUCAUAGAGGGGAUAAUGUAAUCUUGUGAAAAAAAUUCGCUUUUUCUGUGGAUGAAUAUUAUUGCAGAGAUUUUACAGGGUUCGUUUUUUCUUUAAGAUUGAUGUAUACCUGUGGAUUGAACCUCUUUUUUUAGUUCUAGUGAAGCCACCUAUAAUUUACAAUUUUUUGUUAAUAAUCUAUACAGAUUUAUUAACCUUCUCACUGUGCAUCAAUGAAUGUUUCUAUAAUUUAAAACUUAGAAUUUCCACAUGCUUUCAUAAGUUCCCCCAUCUAAGCUUUUGUCUUAACUUUUUCUUACUAACUUCUUAGUCGUGCUGAGAGAUAUGGAACAGUGAAUUUAUUAUAAUGAGCUGAGAGUUACAUAUUUUAAGGUACUUGAGCAGUCUGGGGUGUUUGAGGCUGAUUGGUUGCAAUACAGAAACAUACCUGCUGUUGUUACAACUGCUGCUGGACCUGGACAAAUGGUAUGCAACAUUUUGUAUCAUAUAUAUAGGGGAACAUACGUUGGACUUUUUUAAUUUUUUUGACUUUUGCUUUGUUAAUUUUAGCUUUGUAAUUGGUUGCAAACAAUGGCACAGUAGGCAGUGUGCUAUAGGGUAAUUGGGAAAGUAUUUUAAAACUCAUCACAUGUUCCUAUUCUUGUAUUUGAUGUGUGAUGUUAAGAACUAUGGAAAAGUAGUGUUAGGUGUCUCCAACGUGACUCUUUCUAUCAACUUCCACAAGAAACUGAAUCCAUACUCUAAGUUUAGGCAAGAAGGCCUAAAACCAAAAAAUCAUCUGUACUUCUUUUCCUUCUUCACUAGAUGAAAAUGAAAUUUAUUUGAAAUUUUCACGAUUAUCUCAAAUAAUUGCUUAAAGAGCAUGCAUUCCUCAUGGAUAUAUUUAUUUUGUGAUCAUAACUUCUCUCCUGGAAAAAGCAAUUGCGACUGCUACAGCAGGUGGAACGAUGAUAAACAUUAUCAACUGUGAUAAAAUUUCACAGAAUAUUGUGAAGGUAAAUUUGUUUACUCUUCUUUAUAGCACUUCACUUCUAUAUUUGGGGGAGCAAAUGGGGUCAGGCCAUUUGGGGAACAGAUUGAAAAUAUGGACUGAUAGGUCAAUUUGCAAUGUGUUUUUGUCAACUGUAUGUAUGUAUGAAGAAAGAAUUACAGAGUGACCUAUGGUUUUAAGUUCUUGCUUCUUUGCAUGCUCGGUUACAUGGAGAGAAAUAGUGAGAAGGGAGAUUUCAUGAAAGAAGUCGCAGACAAAAUAAUAAAGUGCAUUGGUGGGGAAUAUAGAAACUGGAUAAAUAAAUAGGUUUUCAGAACAUUUCGUAAAGGUAGAAAUCUGGUAAGAUCGGAUUUUUCAUAGCAAAACCAAGACAAAAUUAACUGUUUUUUGUAACUUAAGUAAGCAAAGCUUAUUCUCUUUGGUUUGCAUUCCCAAUUCAAACUGGGACAUGUAGACCAUAUCUAUAUUUAAGUUGUUUUGUGCAAUCUAAAUGUUGGUUUUUCCAGGUCUACUUGGCUAAUUUGCGCCUUAAGGGAGUUGCGACAGAUGUUCUGAUCACAGCAUAUGAGCCUAUGUUGAUUAAGUUGCAAAAACUUUCAUCUGCCAAUGCUUAUCGGUUAUCACUUUGUUUAUUACUUUGCUGAAGAUAUGCAAGUCUUCCCGAGCAUGACGGAAAACUACUUUUUUUCUACCUGUUGAGAUGUACCUAAUAUAUUCUUUCAUCUGCUUUGUUUCUGUUCUUGUAGUCCUUUGAGCGAAAGUGCUAGCGCAAUUGGGGCUGGUUUCAUUGUACCUGCUGCGCAAUGUGGAUGUAUACCAAUGGCUGAGGUGUUCAAGCUUGCUGUUUCUAGUUUCAAGGUCAAUGAUUGGAGCCUUUUUGGUGUUGCUGCUUGAUAAGUUCUGGAAGGAUGCAUGUAAACAAAAACCGCGAAUUAUCGAAAUUGCACGUUUUCUAUUUCCCAUCUUAGACCAGUUUUCACUUGGAAUUAGAAACUUUUACUUGGCAGAGGAAAAGAAGUUGCUUGGAAUUGGACCCUUGGAAGUUCUUUUGGCGUGUUAGCCGGUUAGAUCUCAAUAUUUGAUGAAAUACUUUUGCUGAUUAUUGGCAAAUUCUCGUUAUAGGUUACAAUUCUUGGAUCAGUGUCCUUAUUUAAGGCUUUUCUUUUGAACUUUACAGUGAACACUGUAAUUACGUGUUUUUUGUAUUUUCACAGCUCUGUCACUUUCAGAUGGUAAUUACUCUUCUUACACGGAUUACUUGUGUACAUAUUGUAAUUUCGUCCAAUUUGGUGCCUUGUGUUGGCAAAACUUGAUAUUUUCUGAUGACACUCAUUGUUCUAUUGCAUUCAGAACAGUAGUGCAAUAAGAAUCUUAAAAGGGAGAAACAAGUCAACAACAGUGUCUAAUUGUACUACAAAAAUAUAUUAGAGAAAAACUGAAUGUGUACAUGCUUAUAAAUAUUACAAGACUUCCAAGUACAAAAUAUAAGCAGAAAAAUAUUUAUCUCCGCCUCUGGGGGUGGAAAGUGCUAUUAGCUGGUGUCUUCUCCUCUCUAAAAGGUUGGGUUGAUUCAUCUGAUACACUAGGCAAUCUUGACACACUGCCCUUGCUUCUCCUUGCAUUUGGUCCAAUUUCCUCUAUCAUGUACUUCCAUCCGUCAAUAGGCCUCCUUCGGCUAAAUAUGUGAGUCUUUAUAAAACUAGCUAUCUGAAUACCACAAAUUAAGCCGUUUCAGUUAAAAUAAAAAAUAAAAAAAUGGCGAGACGUAAGCGUAAACAACGUAAAUCUUGUAAAUGAAAUUAAGAAAAAAAAUAAUAUUCAUCAAGAAAUUGAACAGAACCCAAGCCCUGCUAACUCCGAUGUCCCCAUCUCCAUAUAUUCAACGCACUAUGCCAAAAAUUUCAUGAAGGAAAUCGGAAUGGGAGGAAUAUCAUAGUUGACAAUAUGUUAUAGAUAAAGUAUUUUUACAUUUUCAUCCUAACAAUUCCAGGGUUUUAUUUUCAGACAUGGAUUUCUUCCUGAACAUGCUUAUUAACGGGCAAGCAAACCAUCUCAAUCAUGAAAUAAUAAUGAGACUUAAAAAUGCAUAACCACCGGAUGAGUUCUUUCAACAUACCCCAAUAGGCAAAACCCUUACUACUUUUUUUCAACAACCUCGUCAUCAAUAGGUAAAAACACGAAACCAACAUGUUAGCCAUUUUUUACUACUAUGGAUAACUAAAGGGCAAAGCAUCAAAAAAAUUGAUUUUUACUAUCUCCCCCCCCCCACCCCCCCCCCGCCAUUUAUUUCUACACAUGACAUUAUAUAACAUAUAAUCAUGUCAACGUACCCAGUAAUUUAAACAAGACCAGUUAAUCAUUGCACAACAUGCGAAAAAUUUCUACUUGAAAUAAUAUGAAUUAGAAUUGAAAGUGAAGGAAUAAAGUGCUUACUCAGAGCAGCUAUCGAGCAAUUUCUCUAUAUUAUCUCCAUCAACGGAAAUGGAGUCCCCCAAUUUUGCCUCCUCCAUUUUCUCAAUCUCCUUCAUCCAUAGCCCCGCGUGUAUCUUCUGCUUCUUCAACCUGUAAUCUCGUUUAAUAUUCUCCAAGCUAUAAAGCGACGAUGAAGAUGGAGACAAUGCAGAGGAGUCCAUAUUCUUUUUAUCUUCCUUUGUCAUUUUGCCCUUCCUCUGGUCCCAAUUCUCGUUCAUGUCCUCCACAAAGGCCUUGGUCUCGGAGUCAAUUUCUUCUCCCUGGUGAGUAUUUUCAGCGGUGGCAGUGGGGAGGGAAAAGGUAACGUCGGAUUCCCAGGGGGCUACAGGUGAGGAUUUGCCGAAAUUAUCGUCAGGAAGCCACGCCGUUUCCCAUGCGUCGUUCCACUCGUUGUCGCCAGUUUUGUUCUUAUUGGUUGUUCGGUUGGUGGAAAAUAAAGCGGUUGUUGCGGCGGCGGAGGGAUGCCAGCUGGAUUUACUGAGAGUGGCGGCGAGCCUGUAAAUUGGAGUCAUUUUAAGGGAUGGAUACUGGUGUGUAUGUGAAUUUUCAGCACAAAGUUUAUUAGAGCUUGUUUGUAUAGUCAAAUUUUAAUUUGCCGGAGGUGGCUGCUGGAGUUAAUCGGGGGCAGCGGGGCCGGGAGUGGCGGUGGAGGCAGUGGUAGAUUCUGAAGAAGAUGACCUGAACAUAUUUAGCCCUGUUUGGUCCGGUUUUACUUGUUCCAAUGGCCACCAAAUUUAGGUUUAAGUGUUUGAUUGGUCACGAAGCUUAAAAGGGUAAUUGGCACAAAACGUCCCUACCUUUCAAGUCUAUUGUGGAAAACGUUUUUAUCUUUCAUUUUUUGGCAUUUUUGCCCUCAUUUCAACAUUUCUUUGCGCUGGACAUCCUUCCGUCCAUAUUCCAUCAGUUUUUCCGUUAAUUAAAGGGUAAUUGGCACAAAACAUCCCUACCUUUCAAGUCUAUUGUGGAAAACGUCCCUACCUUUCAUUUUUUGGCAUUUUUGCCCUCAUUUCAACCUUUCUUUGCGUUGGACGUCCUUCCGUCCAUAUUCCGUCAGUUUUUCCGUUAAUUAAAUACAAAAAUACCUUUUUCUUUCCAUAAACAAGGGUAAAAUUGUCCUCACCCACUUCCCCCAUUUUUCCCGCCAUCAACUUAGUCCAUAAGUAACAGUAGCAGCAAUAUGAAUCUGAAAAUACUUUAAAUGAUUAAGUUAAAUAAAGAAAAAAUAUCGUGAACACAUUAUAUUUCACAAUUCCACAACUACUGUUGCUGUCAUCUUGUGUCACUGGAAAAAUUUAGAAAGACAUAUUAAAUGGGUAGUCAAUUUAUAAUGAGUCAAUUUAAAAUGAGCCAUUCAUCUUCUCCAUUGAGCCAAAAAGAGCUAUUCACCAUUUUGGCUCAUUAUAAAUUGAUUACCCAUUUAAUAUGUCUUUCUAAAAUUUUCCAGUGACACAAGAUGAUAGCAACAGUAGCUGUGGAAUUGUGAAAUAUAAUGUGUUCACGAUAUUUUUUCUUUAUUUAACUCAAUCAUUUAAAAUAUUUUCAAAUUCAUGUUGCUGCUACUGUUACUUAUGGACUAAGUUGAUGGCGGAAAAAAUGGGUGAAGUGGGUGAGGACAAUUUUACCCUUGUUUAUGAAAAGAAAAAUGUAUUUUUGUAUUUAAUUAACGGAAAAACUGACGGAAUAUGGACGGAAGGACGUCCAGCGCAAAGAAAGGUUGAAAUGAGGGCAAAAAUGCCAAAAAAUGAAAGGUAGAGAUGUUUUCCACAAUAGACUUGAAAGGUAGGGACGUUUUGUGCCAAUUACUCUUUAAUUAACGGAAAAACUGACGGAAUAUGGACAUAAGGACGUCCAGCGCAAAGAAACGUUGAAAUGAGGGCAAAAAUGCCAAAAAAUGAAAGGUAGGGACGCUUUGUGCCAAUUACCCAAGCUUAAAAUGUGAAACUUAACUUACAAUACUUUUAAAAUUUAGUGAUCAAAAUUUACAUUUUAAAUUUCAGCAAACAAUCGAAUAUAUGAACUUAAAUUCAGUGAUCAAAAUUUAACAUUUUAAAUUUAGUGAUCAAUCAAAAACAUAAACUUAAGUUCAAUAACCAUUGGAACAACUCACCACAUCAAUCCUGAUAUGCCCGGGGCAGUUGAACCACAUUGUAAUGUGGCAUAUUUAAAUUAAAAUAAAAUUUUUAUUAGAUUUUAAUAGAAGUGAAUAGAGUAUGUGAUAAAGAAAAAAAAAAGUUGUGAAUUCUAGCGAAUAUAGGAUUAAAAUUAAUUUUUUACAUUGACUUUGAUUAAAAUCUAAAAUUUAAUUUCUGCCAACUAAUUUUUUUAUUUGUUGCUUUAAGUUAAAGGGUUUAAAUGUCAUUUUAUAAAAUAUUAACACAUUUUUGGACAGAAACUGCACGUGGGACGAAGUCUGCUCAUUUCUCAAACGUUCGUAGAAACAAAUCAAACAAAUAAAAGAUUGGUGGUAUUUUUUCUACUUUUCUUAAAAGUAGAGAUGAAUAUUGCAAUAUACACUUCUUUUUAAUAUUAGGGGUAAUUAUCUUACUCCACCCGUGUUUAUUACUUAUUUGCACUUAAAACCAUCAAUUUUUUUAUUAUAAUUUUGAGAAUUAUACUACUUGUACAUAAAAAUGGUACAUAAAGGAUUACACAAAAUGAUAUGGUGGAAGAAGAUUAGAUGAAACAGUAAACUGUGUUUUAAAUUGAUAAAUAAUAAAGUGACAUUUUUUAAAUUUAUUAUUAUUUUUUUUUUUUGCGCAAUCUUGUCAUCAACAUUUUCAUUAAUUGAUACAUCUUUCUCUCAUUACGGUUUUCAUUUAUAAGUUUGUUGGGAGAAAAGUAAAAUGACUUAUUGUUUAUUGUGUACAUAUGUAUAUAUAAUGUGAUACAACAAAUGAAAAAUAUUGUGUAAACAUAGUUAGGGUUUAGUUAUAGUAAGAGCAUAAUAGUCAUGUUAAAGAAAUUUUGAUUUUCAUGGGUUGUAACUCAUUUUCUAAAGGUUGGGCGUUGAAAUCUCAUGCCUUGUUUGAGUCGCAUUUUUUGAAAAAAAUACAUUUUUAAACAGUGAUUUGAUAUCAUUUCAACUAUACAUUAUUCAAUAAAAUAACAUUACAUGUAAAUUCAAAAAAAAUUCUUAUUAUUUAAUUAUACAUUCUCUAUCGAUCUAUUAUUUCAAAAUACAUUAUUUACAAAUGAUACGAUACAAACACACACUCCGUUUAAUGGUUGGUAGCCGAGAUAAGGUAGUCUUAAGAAAAAUGGGCCCAAUUUUUAGUCUAAUCUCUUUAGACCGAACAUGAAGGCCCAUUAGGGUUUUGUACUGAAACAACUCCUAUAUAAACAAUUCUUACAGGCCUUUUACUGGAAAGGUGAAACCCUAAUCUGUUGCCUUCAGUUGGAGCAGGAAGAGAGAGCCGGAUUGGAGAUCGAAUCAGUGGGGGUCAACAACAAUGGUGCACGUCUCUUUUUACCGUAACUGUAAGCAUUUUUCUAGUCAUUAUUGUACUUACAGAGAUAUACGCAUAAGUCUGUGAUUUAUAAAUGGGAGAGUGAAUUUUGAUGUUAGUUGCCUUGUUGAUCUUCGACGUCUUUUGCUCAAUUCCUGUUUUGAGCUGUUCGAUAUCCGGUGAUGCUAUUGAUGUAAUUUUUUCCUGAUUCUGUUUUACAAGUUUGAAUCUAUGUAAGUGAUUUUUAGUUUUAAGCAGAAUGGGCGUAGUGAUCUUAAAGUUUUCAUUAUAAUUAAAUGUAUCUUUUUCAUAAAUUUAUUAAGAAAAGUUUUGAUUUUGUUUAACUAACAACUGAGGGGCUUUGGAAAAAUGAGGAUACAUCAUAUGCUGCACAAAAAAAAGAAAAUCUUUGUUCAAUUGUCUAUUAUCUAUUCAGAAAAACGUGAGUCUGUGUACACGUAGGAAAUAAUUAACUUAUUCGCUCACCCAAUUGGAAGGUGAAGUUUGUGAUAGCAUAUUGUUGAUAUGCUUGCCAAUUUUUCUACCGUCAAUAUAGUACAAUGUGGAAAUUUUAGGUCCCUAUACUUAUAUGAGAUAAUUAACUCAUUUGCUCACCAAAGUUUGAAUCUGAUGUUUGCAACCUUACACUGAUUGAAACUAGAUUAUUGCCUUGAUAUGAUAUUUCGUGAAAUAUAGAACUUCAAAUACUAAAUUAUAUUGUUCAUUUAAAUAACAAAAAGGUUCCCUCCUCGAUAGGUUAGCUAUAUUAGUGGUUGAAUUGCUUGCUGAACUGAUAGAUACAUGAUUGGUUACAGAUGGGAAAACAUUUAAGAAGCCCCGUCGUCCCUAUGAAAAGGAACGACUAGAUGCUGAAUUGAAGCUUGUUGGAGAGUAUGGACUUAGGUGCAAGAGGGAACUCUGGAGGGUUCAGUAUGCACUAAGCCGCAUCAGAAAUGCUGCAAGAAAUCUUCUGACUCUUGAUGAGAAGGACCCUCGUCGUAUUUUUGAGGGUGAAGCCCUUUUGAGGAGGAUGAACAGGUAUGGACUGUUGGAUGAGAGCCAGAAUAAGCUCGAUUACGUCCUGUCCCUCACAGUAGAGAAUUUCCUUGAGCGCCGCCUGCAAACUUGUGUGUUUAAGGCAGGUAUGGCUAAGUCAAUCCACCAUGCUAGAGUGCUCAUCAGGCAAAGGCAUAUCAGGUGCGGAUGAUUUCUCAAUUUUAAUGACUGUUUUAAUGCCCAUGUUAUUGACUCUUCAUUUUGACUUUUAUUAUGUUAUUUCAUAUAUAUAUAUAUUGGGAAAUAUUAUUGACACACAAAUUAGAUGAUGAAUGUCAUUUAGAAAUGGAUAUUUGAUUGCAUAUAGUAAAUUGUCGAUAUACUUAUAGGUGUGAUAAGUAAUACGCCUUGGUUUUUGCUUUCACUUGUGUAUCAGCAUCAAAGCUUUCAAUUUUGUAUGCACUUAGAUCAACACAACAGCAAGAUUCAGAUAAUUACAUGAUAUGACAUUAAGCAAUUGAAAAAUCUUGUUUAUGCCAUUUUAAUCGUUGGUUAACACCAAUGGUAGAGUUGGCCUCAUAUUCUCUUGGUUCUUGCAUAACUUCUUAAUCUUGUAUAUGUAAGGAUUUUAUAUUUCUCAUAGUGUGAGCUUCAAAUCUUGCCUUAGCUUUUGGAAUCUCGGCGGAUAGAGGACUUGUGGUUGGCAGAUAACUUAUAAGUGACGCAAUAAUUUUUAUCUUUCGGUUUUAUUUAUAUCAAUCGAGGGAAUGAUUUAGUCUUGUAAGCAUUCCAUCUCUCUCUUUUGCAUGCAUGUAGAGUUAAUGUUUGUCACUGACUCACUGGCACUCUUCCCUAAUAUGAACUUGAACUUGACUCUUGGAAGUUUGAAACGUGCUUUUGAUUGAAAAUCAUGAUUACAUUACUUUUUUAUGAGGUGCUUACAUUUGUGACCUUUUUACUUAGAAUAUAGAAAAGUUAUGAAAUGUCAUGACUAGGAAAUUCUGCUACUAACGCAAGCUACAUUGUAAAUUAUUCUUAAGUUAAAUUUGUUAUUGAGCCCCUUUUUUCAAAAAAAAAAAAAAUACAUUUUGAAAUAGUGAUUUGAUGGAGAAUGCGUAUUUAAAAAAUAAGGAAAAGUUUCAAGUUUGUGUUUAUAAUUUUGUUGAAGAAUGUGUAAUUGAAAAUAAGAGAGAUAAAUUUCUUAAAUAAUGGAGCUCAAACUAGAACUAAAUAUGCCUGAUUUUUAAUAAUAAUAAUAAUAAUAAUAAUAAUAAUUAACACUGAUUUUUAAACUUGAAAUUUAAAAUGUAGGUUUCGCUUAGCUUUGCGAAGUGGGUUUCUGGCAACAUUUGUAGCCCAUAUGUAGAAAACCAAAUUUGUACACAUAAACAUUGCUCAAGGAAAAGAUGAAGCUCAAUUCAUGACACCACCCAGACUAUUUUGAUAACAGAAUUAAUUAAUUGUUCUUUAUCAAAAAAUUAAUUUCUUUUUCUUCAUUUAUACUGUUGAUUUCACUCUAUCAAUUAUGCCAUAACUAUCUUCUUCAUCUAAUUUAUUUUUUUUUAAAUAAAAACUUUAAAUGCCACUAAAUUACUAUAAGCCAUUGUUUGGUGCAAAUUAAAAUCAAAAUUUUUUAGUAAACUUUGAUGAAAUUUGUGGUUAAAAAUUAUGGAUUAAAAAAAAACUAAAAAUUAAAAUUAAUUGUUAACUAUGACUUUGAAUUCAAAUCAUAUUAUAAUUAUACCAAAUACGGGCUAAAUCUAAUUAUCAUGAAAGGAAUAGGCUUGCUCAUCUUUUAUGUACAGCCCAUUGGGUCACCACAUAGUUGCAUCUCAAUCUAAAUUUGUUGAGUAACUUAUUGAGGGGGAAAAAAAUGCAAAAAGGAAAAAAAAAANNNNNNNNNNNNNNNNNNNNNNNNNNNNNNNNNNNNNNNNNNNNNNNNNNNNNNNNNNNNNNNNNNNNNNNNNNNNNNNNNNNNNNNNNNNNNNNNNNNNNNNNNNNNNNNNNNNNNNNNNNNNNNNNNNNNNNNNNNNNNNNNNNNNNNNNNNNNNNNNNNNNNNNNNNNNNNNNNNNNNNNNNNNNNNNNNNNNNNNNNNNNNNNNNNNNNNNNNNNNNNNNNNNNNNNNNNNNNNNNNNNNNNNNNNNNNNNNNNNNNNNNNNNNNNNNNNNNNNNNNNNNNNNNNNNNNNNNNNNNNNNNNNNNNNNNNNNNNNNNNNNNNNNNNNNNNNNNNNNNNNNNNNNNNNNNNNNNNNNNNNNNNNNNNNNNNNNNNNNNNNNNNNNNNNNNNNNNNNNNNNNNNNNNNNNNNNNNNNNNNNNNNNNNNNNNNNNNNNNNNNNNNNNNNNNNNNNNNNNNNNNNNNNNNNNNNNNNNNNNNNNNNNNNNNNNNNNNNNNNNNNNNNNNNNNNNNNNNNNNNNNNNNNNNNNNNNNNNNNNNNNNNNNNNNNNNNNNNNNNNNNNNNNNNNNNNNNNNNNNNNNNNNNNNNNNNNNNNNNNNNNNNNNNNNNNNNNNNNNNNNNNNNNNNNNNNNNNNNNNNNNNNNNNNNNNNNNNNNNNNNNNNNNNNNNNNNNNNNNNNNNNNNNNNNNNNNNNNNNNNNNNNNNNNNNNNNNNNNNNNNNNNNNNNNNNNNNNNNNNNNNNNNNNNNNNNNNNNNNNNNNNNNNNNNNNNNNNNNNNNNNNNNNNNNNNNNNNNNNNNNNNNNNNNNNNNNNNNNNNNNNNNNNNNNNNNNNNNNNNNNNNNNNNNNNNNNNNNNNNNNNNNNNNNNNNNNNNNNNNNNNNNNNNNNNNNNNNNNNNNNNNNNNNNNNNNNNNNNNNNNNNNNNNNNNNNNNNNNNNNNNNNNNNNNNNNNNNNNNNNNNNNNNNNNNNNNNNNNNNNNNNNNNNNNAUAUUUGACUUCUUCUCUCACAGAUGGACCUCACUUUUCUCCUAACGGUCAAAAAAUCAAUUCUCAAAAUCAUUUACAAACGGACUCUAAUAUUUGGUACACAUUUUCAACAAUGCACGUAGCAGAGACGGCAAGGGUCCUUCAGAUGUCACAUCGUAUCUUUGUUAUUUUUUGUCAAUAAAGGUUUUCCUUUUCUUUGUUAUGUCAUUCAAGCAUAGUCUUUUAUUAACUAUGCAUAUGAAACUUUCUAGAUGUAUAUUGAAAAUAAAAUUUAUUUACAUAUAUAGAAUCAUAGGUAUAGGUCUAUAUGAUGCACUUCGAUAAGGUGUGUCAAAUUGGAUCGUAUUAUCAACUUGGUACAAAUGCGCCAAUUGGACUUUUUAGCUGAUGCUACGAGUUUCUUGCAAAGAAGAUUGUCUUUUGAAACGAUGGUAUUUUCAUGCUUUAGUGAAAAUUAUGUCCAACUAAUCUAUUGCUAAGAUCAACUUGUUCAAAUGAAAUAUAACAUAAAACAUAUAAUACCUAAAUAUAAAAUUCGACUUCUAUAUACUCCUCACAAAGUGGAGGAAGCUUUUGGAAAUGUCAAAGAAAGAACUUGUUCUUUCGACAUAAGAAUUUUUAUCAAUAAUUUUGAGAUCUUAAUAAUUUAUUCUGUAGAUCUUAAUUUACUGUAUACUAAACUAAUUAGUCAAAAAUGCAUGAGAAUCAUGAAAUUUUGGCAUGUUCCAUGUGUUGUCUUUCACUCAUGACUAGUAUUUUGAGUAUAUCUUUAAAUGAUGAAUAUUUUUUUAUGUUCCUUACCAUGAUAAAAUUUGACAUAUGGCAGUCACACAUUUGAAUAUUAUGGAAAAGUUUGCAGUCCAAUAAAUUUAUGUUCUCUACAAUGAAAUGUUGAAACUUUGAGCAAGAUUCUAUAGCCUUCCCUUUCAUACAUUAUGCAUAUUUCCUUCUUUUACCUUUUUCUUUCUUUGUUUCUUUAGUUUUUUAUUUAUCGUUUUUUUUUUAAUAUUUAUUUAUAAGAAUUCAAUACAAUAAAGACAUUAUUUGGUCGAGUGCAAAAACCAAUUUUAUAAGCAACAAAUGUUUUAGACAGAUUAAGUAAAAAUCAUUUUAACUAACAAAAUGACAAUUUUUAAAUUACAUUGGGAUGAUAACAUUCAAUCUUAUAGAUGUCUGCUUAUUAUCUUUGCGUAAGGACGCAACUUCACGAGAUUCUAUAUUUAUAAAGAUCAUUUUAUGUACAAUAGAGAAUAUUAUUAAAUUUAAAGAGUGAAAUAAUUUAAUACUCCCAUAAUACUCAUUAUUUUGGGCAUUUAUUUUGCAUGUUAUUUAUGGUAAUUACCUAGGUGACAUACAUUAAUGCAUUAAAUAACAAACUACUGUAUGUAUAUUACAUAGGGCGACUACCUGUAAUCUUCACUAUGAAUAUCAUUAUUCUUUUGCUUUAUUCAAUAAACAAUUAGUGUUUCUUAGAUAAAGAUUUUUUAUUUUUUUAGUUUGCAAAUGUGGUAAAAAAAAAAAAAGUAGAAAAAAUAUUAAAAAUAAUUUUUUUUUAGAGAGAGAAUAUGUAGUUGAAAUGAGUGUGGAUAAAAAGUUAUUCUUAAAUAAUAAUAAUAAAAAAAAGGACUUAUUGAUUUCUCAUCUUUUAUAAGCCCAUGUUUGGUCCUCGUUAAAAUUACAAUUCAUUUUUCUCUUGCUUCUUAUUAACCACACAUUGUUCAAUAAAUAAUAUUUACACGUAAAUUAAAAAAAAUCUUUUUUUUAAUCACAUAUUCUUAAAAAUAUUUAAUAAUACUAUUUGAAAAUAUUUUUUUUUCAAAUUCUCAAUAUAAUGGGGACGGGGGACCAAACAAUUAAGGACUUACUUUGAAUAAUUUGAAAAUAUAUGUAACGUAUUAAAUGCAAUAUUUUGAUUUUUCAUUUAACAAAGAAAUUUGAUCUUGGUACUUAAGCACCUGUUUGUUGUUGCUAAAAAUUAUAGUUUAAUCAAAUUGAUGAAAUAUGUGAUUGAAAAUGUAUGAAUCCACACAAAAUUAUGACUUUGACUUAAAUUUUAAUCCACGCCAAACAGAGCAUAAGUGUAGUUGGACGACAAAUUUCAACUAACAAAGCACCAAAAAGUUGUAUAAAAUUGGUACAUGUCCCCUUCAUAUGACACAGACCUUCGAUCACAUUUUGAGCACCGACCAAUCAAUUGAGCAGCAAAUUUACCCCUAUUAUCUUAAUAGAGGUUUGCCUUGCAAUUUCAACAUUAUCCCUUGAAUUACUCAACCACUUCACUACGUAGAUCUAGUUGUGAAAGUUUCGUAGACGAUCAAAAUCAUACUUUUGUCCAAUUCCAAUAUUCUAUUUCAUUAACACACGUAUACUAACCAAAAGAAAGUUUUAAGUAAAACAAGUAGGGGAGCUAACACAUAUUAUUACCCUAAAAGAUAUCUGAGGCUAGAACUAUGAGAAAUUUAUAAAAAAUGUCAUGGAAGUUUUUCGCUUUUAAGAUGGCACGGAAGGUAUUUUGGGGCCACCAUGUUCGCAUCCCCGAACUCAUAAUCAAAGUGGUCUCGUGCAAUUUCAUUUGCGGCCAUGAGUUGUCCGUAGCCUCUACAAAAGUCCCUUUGAUUCUCUCUUUAUGAAAACAUGUUUGACAUCAUCUAGAAGUGCCGGCAAAAAGAGUAAAAAAUAGAAGAGGAUCAAAUACCAUCUAAUCUCAUUCAUAAAUGAUGUCGAUUAGCGAUCGACGAAUGUUGCUUAUAUGACUUCGCUGGCACUUUAUAAGAAAUUGAAAAGCCUUUUUAUUCCAAGGUAAAUAUGAUCGCAAGGCCAAAUUUUUAAAAAUUGAUUGAAAAAGGGCACCGAGAGUGGAGCGUGGAGCUUAAUCUGACUCAAUAGUCAAUGUAGAAAAAGUUUACUCAGUUCAAAUAUGUCAUCUAUUUUUUUUAUUUUUCAUUUUUUUCGUUAAUACAUGCAAAUGGGUCUUGGAACGAUAAAAAGUCAAUUAAGUUUUUCCUUUGUGUGCAUAUGAAAUUGAACAUGACACCCAAAUGUUUUAGGCUGGAAAAGAGGGAUCAUACGACAUGUUAUUAAAAAAAUGAGAGGACUAAAAUGAAAACCUAAAAAGCUUCCAAUUUCUUCCUUCCCCUCUCAAUUUUUUCAACAUUUCUCCUUCACAGCCCCUUAACUUUUCUAUCUGUCAAUUCUACCCCCCAAAAACUACAUGAAAAGGUCCAAGUGCAACAUAGUGUAGUAGUUGGCAGCUUCAUCUUCAAAUUCCCACAGCCCAUCACAGAAGGGUCGAUUUUCUUCUGAUUUGGUUUCUUUGUCGACUCUUUUGGGAAUUCCAAGCUCAUCAUCAGAGGCUUCGAGAAGACGUCUGAUCAUGACUCUAUCAUCCCCACCUUCCUCUUCAUGUUCUUUAGCACCAAUUACAACAGAGCACGCGGAGGUGUUGGUGGUUUGGUUAUGGUCCCGCCCAGCUUCCUCCACCGUGCACGAAGGAGAGGCAAAUGAAGAAGAGAGCUCUUGCUGUAGGGUUGUAAAAAUUGCUGAAAAGUCUUGGUUUGGCUCUUGUUCUUCUUCAUCAUCAAGAAUUGAGAGUAUACAGUUGUAUGAUUUGUGGUGCUUUGAGUUUGUGUCAUCAAAGGCAGAGGUUGCUGCUUCAUGUUCAUUGGAUUUUUCUCUCUGGCGCUUAAGUUGUGUUUCGGCCAUUAAAGAAGAAACUAAACAGAAAUAGAGAGUAAGAGUGUGAGUGUGAGUGUGAGUGUGAGUGUGAGAGAGGAGAGGAAAGGUUUAUAUAGAUGGAGGCGACAGGUAAAGAUCCAAUAAAAAUGAGUCCGGUGCAACACUUUGAAAAUCGUCAUGGCAAUUGGCAAACAAUUAUGCUAUUGGUAGAUGGCAAUAUUGACUGACUAUGUUGAUGUGUCAAAAAAUUGUUGGUUGAAAAAUCGAUAAUUUUCGAACUCUUCAAUGACAACAUUAGUUUGUCGAAGAAGUUUGUAAGAGAUGCAUGAAUGUUAUCGUUAGCGCAAAAAGAAUAAAAUAAAAUCAUUACAGCACUAAUCCAAUUCAAUUAUUUGACCAGCAAGUUGGUUUUCAACUUUUAUUAUUAUAGUUCGGCAAUCAAUUUUGAACGGCCACUAACAAAUUGAGUUAUGACGUAGUGGUUACAUAAUAGUUAGAAACUAAUAGACUAUCGUGACUGAGUUAGAAAGAGCCUUUUUUAUGAAAACUAAACCAUUUAUUGAGACUACGAGUGUUAUUUUAGUUUUUACAUAGGUAGGAUGUUUUUUCAAUUCAAAAAUAAGUAACUUCUAGCUUUUUCUAAAUAAAUCAUGUUGUAAUUUUAUGAAACUUUAGACUUUCUAAUAUUAGAAACUUUAAAAUUUGAAAACCUAAAUUUCUUUAUUGUCAAGAUUUUUCAUGUCAAAUCAUCAAGAAAAAUUAAUAAUGCGGAACAUACCUUAAUCCUUUGGGAAUAUUUCUCUAUUACUGGAUCUUGAAUUCGAAUCUCGAAUCUUGAAACUUGAAUUGCAAUCUCUUCAUCUUUGGCUAAUCUUGAAUUUUGCCUCCUUUGAUGAUUUUAUUUUUAUUCUUGAUUUUUCCUUUUGAUCCACAAUCUUGAUUCUUGAAUUCCUUCUUGAUUUUUUUUAUUGUGGCUAUUGAAUCUUCCUCUUCAAUGUAUUUUAUCUUGUAUUCUUGUGUUGAUAGAAUGACGAAAAGAAUGAGAAGUUGCUUAUGAAUUGAGGUCUAUAAUCCUAUAUAUAGUUUUUAUAUGUAUUUUACUUAUCAUGAAAUACAAUUCUAAAGGAAUUUGAUCUCUUCACAUAUAAUCCGACUCACAAUUUAUUUAAAUGCCCUAAACUCAACAAUUUAAUUCUUGAGGAAAAUACAUAGUUCCAACUAAUACAAUUCACAGUCCAAAGUUUGUAUAUGCAAAAUUAAGAUAUUGAUCUACUAAUUACACCCACCCAAACCCUAAAAAUCUUACCUAAUUCAACAUACCCCUCAACCACCACCACCGUCUUCCUCACUUUCACACGUACAACCCACCAUUCCUUCUCACUCACUCUCAUACGCACAACCCACAACCGAACAAUUUGACGGGGUCUAUGGGCCGAUCCAACAGAGCAACGAUGAUGGUGUCACUGCAACUCUCAUCUUUCCUAAAAGUGACAAUUGACUUCUCCAAGUGUUGUUGCGCACAAUACAAAGGCGGAGUCGAUGGGUCGACUGCCACGCGUAGCGGUGAUGGUAUUGUUGGAAAAAAUAAGUAAAUGACUUAAUUUUGGCAAAAUUUUCGGUGGGACCCAUUGGUCCAAUUUGAAAGAUAAAAGUUGAUCAUUGUUCUCUUCCGUGAGAGUAUCGAAACCAUAUAUUUAUUUGUCAAAAUUAAUGAAUUGAUGAAUGAGAAAUUGGAGCUCAAAGAUGACCAUUAGAAGAUAGUUUAUGUGGGAAAAUAAAACUAGUCCCACGUAGGAAAAUGAAGAAAGUAUUAACCACUUUAUAUAGGAUUGCACAUUGGAAUGGUGUAAUUACGUGUAGCAUAAAUGCUCUCUCCACGUGCGCGCGUAGGGGGUGCAAAUAACGGAUUGAAAUUGCCUUUGGACCUUAAACUUUGUGCGGGCGUGACCUGCGUACACGUAUGUUAGACCGAACAGAGCAAAAAAUUAGCCCUUUUAGAGUGUCCAUGUUAUGCAAUUUUUUGUUUUCUUUAACUGACCUUUGAGUUUUCGAAAAUUGCCAAAACUCCAAAAAAUUAAAGCAACUCUAGUGUUUAUUGCUAUGAAGUUAAUAGGCAAAUUUAAACUCACAUAAAAGGUCAUUUUUCCAGCAGUUCUAACACAUACGAAAACACACACUAAAGGAGGAGAAAAACAUUCUGCAAUUUUUUUCUGUCUGCAUCUCGAUUUAUGUUCAACGUCGUCACUGUGGUGAUUUUGUUCAGAUACUAGUCAGUUCGCUGGAGUAGUAUCUGUGGUACUCAAAUUCUACGGGUUUUAUCGUUGUAUCCUGAAAAACAGACGCUCGGAUUAAACCUCAUGCACUUAUGGUGAGAGGGCGAAUCUAUUUUAAGGAAAUUAUGUUCGCACAGGCCUCGGGAUGAAAAUUAAUCCACCAUUUAUUUAUUUUGCGAUUAUACCUUUGCAAUUUAUUCUUGUAGAUUUAAUUAGUUAGCUUAAUUUGUCAUUUUAUUAUGUUAUCGCUCUAUUUAUGUUUAUCAAAAUUAAUCUGCGUUAAUUUCUAUUUAUGUUAAAAAUAAAAAUUUGAGAAAAGAUUAUAUUCCAUAAUUUUGGUAUUUUUAUGUGUAAAUGAAAAUACGGUAUAUAUGAAAAGGGUAAAAAAAAUAUGUGCAAAUAUGGUUAAAAGCAUAUACGGUAUGCAGCAUAUAUGGUAGGAAGUAAAUACGGUAGGUAGCAUAUACGUUAAGUUGCAAAUACGGUAAGCUGUCUAUAAAUACGGUAUAUUGCAUAUACGGUAUGCUUAAAAUCAAUAUAUAAACUACAUAUACGGUAUGCGAUAAUCCGGUUUCAUUAACACCACUAUAUUCCACCAGGUUUUACCGCUGUGCAGCAAUUCCUCCACUUGAUCGGUGAAACAGCGACGAGAAAUUCCUCCAGUUGAUCAGCAAAGCAACGGCGAUUGUGCAAGUGGUUUGCAAAUUGUGGUGGUGUGUAGGUUGUUGGUUGUUUUCUUUUUCUAUUGGUGGUUUUUUUUGAUCCGUGGGUGGUUGUUGGUCGACGGUGAUGAUAGUGAUUGUGCAAGUGACGGUGGUUGUGCAAGUGGUUUGCAAAUUGUGGUGGUGUUUGUAGUUGGGCGGUGGUCGAUGGCAAGGCAGGGGUGAUGUUAGCGGUGCUUGGGCGUGGUGUUUAACAGCGACAAUGCUAGUGUUGGUGGUUGACGACAAUGGUGAUGGUGUUGUGUUGAUGAUCUUGUUGGUAGUUAUAGUGGUGGCAGGGGCGAUGGUCGGAUGGGGAUGAAGAUUAUUUGUAACCUACUAUCUGGGUGUUUGUAACCAACUACAUAGUUGAUUUGUGACCAAGUAUUGAUAGUGGAUUGGGAUUGAGGGUGAAGUAAAAUAUUUGAUGUAUGUGACUAACUAUUUGAUUAUUUGUGACCAAUUUUUUAACUGUGACAUAAAAUUUCAAUAAUUCGUGACUGAAAAAUAAUUUGUAACCAACUAUUUUGAAAAUUUGUGAUCCUUAAAUGAGUUAUGACCUUUAAAAAUUAUUAUUUGUCAUCAAUAAAUAAAUUGUGACCUUAAUAUUUUUAAUUUGUGAUAGAAAAAUAAUUGUGAUCAAUUAAUUUGAUAAUAUAUGAUCAAUAAAUAAGUUGUGAUCCAUAAGUAUGUAACUGUGACCAUUAAUUGUAUAACUGUGACAUUAAUAAUUUAAUUAAUAAAAUAUAUUUUAUUAUUUAGUUAUCAUCUGAGAUUUAAAAAUUUUAACUUAUUGUUUGAAUUUUGAAUUUGCCAAUAUUUUACACUAGAGAUAUGAAUUUUUCCCUUAAUUCUUUAUUAAAUCAUUCUAAUUUUGAGUUUAAUUUAAAUUAUACACAAUUAAUUAUAUACGUAGGUCACAUGACAAAUUAAAAAUUUUCCCAACAAAUCCAUCAACCCACUACUUCGAAUGUCUUUUGUCCUCUCGCGAGUCACGAGGCUUUAUUAAUUAAUUUGAAUAUCAUAGCAAUGCACCUUUUAUCUUUUUUACUUAAUAAUAUUCUUCUUCACAUAUGUUUAAGAAUAAAAUCUAUUUUAGGAUAAAUCUAUUUCACUUACUCGCAAGUUGAUUUUUUCGAAAAACACAUUUUUAAUUUUUUAAAAAUAUAUUGUGUUUCUAUCUAGUUUAUGCUUUUGUUUUUUAUGUUGUACGAAUUUUAAAUGUCUCGGUAAAGUCUAAUAAAAGAGCUUUUUUUAACUAUAAGUAAAAUAAGACAUAAAUUUGAUUACUUAACAAAGUUAUAUGACGUUGAAAUGUAUUGAGAAGCGAAAUAAUUUGAUUUGAGCAGAAAAAAUUUUAUUCUCACGAACGAAAGGCCGCCUUAAUUUCAAGUAAUAUGAAGAUAGUAGUAUGAUAUAAUGCAUCUAUUAAAUCGAUUACUCUUGAGAGUAGCCAAUGAUAUUACAAAGAAAGGUUGUAUCUACAUAUUCAAAACUUAUUUUUAUUGAAAGAACAAGCUAGUAAUUAGAUGAUAUUAAUCGUCCUAGGGGGAUUUAUUUCAUUUACGGAAAAAACAAUCUUAGUCCAUGUAUGGUUUAGCUAGAAAAAUUGAAUUAAAAUAUAAAUUAAAGUCAAUCAUUAAUUUUAAAAAUAUAUUUUAUUGAAUUCACAACUUUUAAAUUAUAUAUUCCAUCAACUUUCAAGAAAUUUUUAUUUAAAUCAAAGAGUGACUUAAUAACAUACGAUAAAAAGUUGUACAAACAUGACAAGGUGAUAAUGACAAAGAUAUGAUAUAGCAUAGGCCAAUAUGCGAUGCCAUGCACAUGGUGAGUGGACCUAAUUUCCAUUCAUUAGUGCCCACAAGAAAAGGAAUAUUGUACAAUUUUUUUGGGUUCUAGGGGUGACAACUAUCGACUGCUAUCAACAAGUAUUAUUGGCCUAAUAAUUUUGUUGCCAACAAUAUGAUUAGGUUUACAAAAAAUAAAGUUGAUUUAAAUUCAUUUAUAGACAACGCAUGAAAAUUAGCUACAAGUUUUCCAUUAUGCUUUUUUGUUUCAAUUAUUAGGCAAAGGGAACAGUUCAUAUGCUAUGUUUGUGUGGCCUUUAGCCACUAUAUAUGAAAGCAUCUAUCAUGAGUGGGGGAGACAAGGAGGGAGAGGGGUAAGUCGUCAAUUUUUGUUGAUUAUGAUGUGUUCGAUGUUUUAGAGUGGACAUGUAUCGUUGAGCAUUCUUGAAUUCUAGAAGAAUCGUUAAGAAUUGUAAACAAACAAGACACGUUCGACCUGUAUGUGCCAAACAUAUAGCUAAAGUUUCAUCUAAGCAAUUUAGGAACCAUAAACAACAUUAGAUAUUGGAGGAGACAAGUUCCAUAUUUUACAUCAAUUGGUUACCUCCAUUCCAUUCAUCUCGAAUCAGCAGUGCCAUAUUUGACUUGAUGAAUAUUAAUUUUGAAAACCUCCCUAAAAACCGAAGAGAAUGAGAUGAAAAUUGUUCUAUUGAAAGACAAAAAAGAGGGUGAGUCGUGAUACCUCCAUGAGCUUGAACGGUUUCUUGCUUGUGGAGGAUAGAACAACAUUGAGUUUUCAAUAUAUUGUAUGAAUUUUUUUGAGUUACAUUUCUUCAUUAUUUGUAGUUAGUUAUGUAAGUCCAUCGUUACGUAGUGCAUCCAUCUCAAUCUAUUUAUUUAUUUUUCUUGCAUUGAGUGUCAAUGAUAAGUUGGGAAGGAAAAAAAAAAAAAGGUCAUAAGAAUCAAUACUUGAAUCUCCCUGAGAACAAAUUUGCAUAGUUAAGUGAAUGGACACUCUUAACAAAAGAUUUUAAAAUCAUUCGACUUUACAUGAUGCUCUUGGGGAAGAUAUUCUUAAUGAGAUUUGCUUUUCUUUAGAAAUGAUUACUAAUUUGCUAUGGUUUUCUUGUGGUCAAGUUGAUAGAAAAAGUGUGCAUGAUGAGAAUAGUCGUAGAAAUUGAUUAAUUUAUGAAGAUUAUUGGAGAAGGAUGUCAUUUUCAUAAAUAUAAUAGAUGUCCAUGAUAACUCGUGAAUCGCAGUCGUAUUUUAAAGAAUUAAUUAAGUCAAAAUUUAGAAUGAAGAAUUUUGACUUCAACAUACAAGAUGAAAUAACAUUCUACUGUUGAUAAUGUAAAACGACUAAAGUCAUUCUCUAAGUUUAGUCCUUAUUUGGUUUAAUCAAAGAAAUUGAUAAAAAUUUAAGUCAAAAUUAACAAUUAAUUUAAUCACGCAGUUCUUAAAAUUCUCAAGUUUUAUAACUUUUCAAUUGCACAUUUCAUCUUCUUUUUUUUUUUCAAAAUCUAUUAAAAUUUUAAUUUUUAACUAAACCAAAUAGAAAUUAAAUAUACUCAUUAACGAAGUUUAGAGCUAUUUUUGUUACGUCCCUCUUUUCCUUACCUUAUCUUUCCUUUCCUUUCCCUUCCUUCUACUUAUCAAAACAUAAAAAUUAGGAUUCAUUUACUCUCCCCUCAAUUUAAAAGAACAAUGCAGUAAUACCCUUUAAAAGUAAUUACUUUUUUGAUAAAUGUUUUAAUAGUUUUUCAUGAAAGUUGAUGAAAUGCAUAACUGAAAGGUUGAUAAAAAUUAUAAAUCUCAUUAAAUAUAUAACAAAAAUUAAUUAUCGAUUUUAACCUUAAUUUUUUUAACUUUUCCAAUAACACCAGUUCACUAACAAGCCACAGAUAGACAAAUCAUCUAUGAGAACAUGUUAUAUUUGACAAAAACAAGACAAAUGGCGACAUAUUCGAUCUAAAAUGUUUGAAGUCAUGCUCACGUUACAAUCACGAAAAAAUACAUUUGAGCAACAAAGUGCAUCACAGUGUCCAUUCAAACAUAGAAAAAACGUGCUCCAAAUCAAGAAUCGAGCAAUUAAUUCUUCAAAAUCUGACUUCCCUUUCAUGGAAAUCAGAAACUGCAAUCGGUUUGUGUCCAUUGUACUAGUACUACCAAAUAAGCUAAGAUUUAUCCCAUGUUUUAGAACGCAAAGAAGAAUAAUGAAUCUAGCUAAAAAUGCCUACCAACGAUACAAACAAAUGAGUACCACAGUUAAGAAACCUCGACCGGACCAGGAAACUGGUGAACAAGACUCGUAUACCCUUUUUUUCUUUUUUCCUUUUUUUUUUUUAUAACCAUGGGUGUCCGGACCAGCUUACGUGCACCUCGACUAAUCCCUCCGAACCCUAAAGUUUACAGCGGUGUACUCACUUCAGUGGCCCUGAAAAGACUCGAAUUGAUGACCAUUAGGGAGUAAACCCAAUGUCUGAUCAUUGAGCUACUUCUCAGAGUUGAGACUUGAAUAUUUUACUACCACAUAAUUAUCAAAUAGCAAGGAGAAGAUUCGCACCACCAUUACCGCCACUAACCAACACAUCACCUCUCAUGCCCAUCAAUCAACCCCAUUCCCUCUAACCACCAACAUCCAUCUCCAUCUCCACCUCUACCUCCACCAACAUCCCCUCACCGCUGCCAACACCAUAAAUCUUAAAAACACAAAGUUAUUAGAAAAUGUUCAACACAAGUAAAAUGAAGAUAACAUAGCAUUAUGGACACUAUCAAAAUCAACAGUAUACAGAUAAUUUGUAAUUCAAAACUAAAGAAAAUUUUCCUCACUUUUGAAACAAGUUAUUCUAUCAAUAAAACAGGUUCAGAUAUCAAAAUUAAGAGAAUUAGUUUGAACUUUCCAUUUUAUAUAUCGAAGAGAGAACUUCACCAAAAACAUAGUUUACAUCAUUCAAAGGGUCAAAUAAUAGCGAUUCAAUGACUUGACGUAUUUAAGAACCAGAAUAAAACGUUAUAGAAAUAUGCAAGAACAUCCAUUCAAACUAGCCAAAGAAAAGCAUAAACUUCGGGAUAAAAGAGAACAGGAAGCUGCUAUAAAGCUGCAAAGAGUAACCGAAGAAAAAAGAUCACUUUAUAGCCGAUGCUCCCAGUAAACAUGUUCAUGCCUUAUUGUUUUCCCCUUCAUACAAUUCCAAGAACUUGAAAAAUCGAAUCACUGAAUUCUAUGAGAUAACCUUCAUAAGACACCAACGAAAACCUAUAAAUGUAUUCCUCCUAGAAGUUAUUCGAACAUUUUUCUGCGCAAAGGUCAACUUUGAUAUUUUCUCAUGUUACUUCAAAGGGAGAAGGCAAUUUACAGGAAGAAAAUUUAGAUUUAGUUUUAAAAAGAUGUACCCAAGACUACCUCAAAGAGAACAAUCAAUCGAAUCUUGAGUAAAAUAUAAUCCUUCUGAUCCUCCUCCAAGUGAAAGGGAAAAAAGUUGAAAAUGCAAACUUGCAAGAAAUUACCCAUUAGUAGUAAUCAGGUGCAUCUGGGAUCCAAUCCAUCGGAGAGCGAGGCACUCAAUUUGAAUGGUACAGACUGCACCGAAACACAAAUGAUCAGCAUCCCAUCACAGCACAAUUGUAAACAAAACUGCCAGAUUGUUUUCGGCCGAGCAAAACCCAUUGCGGCGGACCUUCAAUUGGAACCCAUGCAUUGACUUCGAUAUAUCCCUGACCAACAGUCCGAGGCCCUCCAAUUACAAUAAGCCUAUCGCCACAUGCCCUAAACGCCAAACCCCAACCAUUCGUAGAAUCAGCUCGUUCUGGCAAUCUUCCUACGGUAAUCCACACUUUAUUAUUCUUGUCAUACUUUCUCAGUGCCAUGUCAGCAUAAUCAGCAGCAUAUAAUUCAUUAUUUACAACAGCAAUCAACGGAGGUGCUUCGGACGUAGCAGGUCGAUCGAAUUCCCUGGCCACAUCAGUCCGCACUGGGGACAUGUUAGGUAUUUCAGUCCAAGUCUCGGUUUCCAGAUUAUAUUCCUCUCCACAUGUGAGAAGCUUCGACUCUGUUCCUCCAAUUCCUCCAAUCACAUAAAACUUUCCAUCCAUGAACACCCCAGAACACAUCUUCCUCGGUUUCUUCAUGCUUGGAAGUGUCUUCCAAAUUCCCAAUUCAGAAUUAUAGAGCUCUGCGGAACCCUAAAGUUUACAGCGGUGUACUCACUUCAGUGGUCCUGAAAAGACUCGAAUUGAUGACCAUUGGGGAGUAAACCCAAUGUCUGAUCAUUGAGCUACUUCUCAGAGUUGAGACUUGAAUAUUUUACUACCACAUAAUUAUCAAAUAGCUAUCUUAAAAACACAAAGUUAUUAGAAAAUGUUCAACACAAGUAAAAUGAAGAUAACAUAGCAUUAUGGACACUGUCAAAAUCAACAGUAUACAGAUAAUUUGUAAUUCAAAACUAAAGAAAAUUUUCCUCACUUUUGAAACAAGUUAUUCUAUCAAUAAAACAGGUUCAGAUAUCAAAAUUAAGAGAAUUAGUUUGAACUUUCCAUUUUAUAUAUCGAAGAGAGAACUUCACCAAAAACAUGGUUUACAUCAUUCAAAGGGUCAAAUAAUAGCGAUUCAAUGACUGGAGUCACUUGACGUAUUUAAGAACCAGAAUAAAACGUUAUAGAAAUAUGCAAGAACAUCCAUUCAAACUAGCCAAAGAAAAGCAUAAACUUCGGGAUAAAAGAGAACAGGAAGCUGCUAUAAAGCUGCAAAGAGUAACCGAAGAAAAAAGAUCACUUUAUAGCCGAUGCUCCCAGUAAACAUGUUCAUGCCUUAUUGUUUUCCCCUUCAUACAAUUCCAAGAACUUGAAAAAUCGAAUCACUGAAUUCUAUGAGAUAACCUUCAUAAGACACCAACGAAAACCUAUAAAUGUAUUCCUCCUAGAAGUUAUUCGAACAUUUUUCUGCGCAAAGGUCAACUUUGAUAUUUUCUCAUGUUACUUCAAAGGGAGAAGGCAAUUUACAGGAAGAAAAUUUAGAUUUAGUUUUAAAAAGAUGUACCCAAGACUACCUCAAAGAGAACAAUCAAUCGAAUCUUGAGUAAAAUAUAAUCCUUCUGAUCCUCCUCCAAGUGAAAGGGAAAAAAGUUGAAAAUGCAAACUUGCAAGAAAUUACCCAUUAGUAGUAAUCAGGUGCAUCUGGGAUCCAAUCCAUCGGAGAGCGAGGCACUCAAUUUGAAUGGUACAGACUGCACCGAAACACAAAUGAUCAGCAUCCCAUCACAGCACAAUUGUAAACAAAACUGCCAGAUUGUUUUCGGCCGAGCAAGACCCAUUGCGGCGGACCUUCAAUUGGAACCCAUGCAUUGACUUCGAUAUAUCCCUGACCAACAGUCCGAGGCCCUCCAAUUACAAUAAGCCUAUCGCCACAUGCCCUAAACGCCAAACCCCAACCAUUCGUAGAAUCAGCUCGUUCUGGCAAUCUUCCUACGGUAAUCCACACUUUAUUAUUCUUGUCAUACUUUCUCAGUGCCAUGUCAGCAUAAUCAGCAGCAUAUAAUUCAUUAUUUACAACAGCAAUCAACGGAGGUGCUUCGGACGUAGCAGGUCGAUCGAAUUCCCUGGCCACAUCAGUCCGCACUGGGGACAUGUUAGGUAUUUCAGUCCAAGUCUCGGUUUCCAGAUUAUAUUCCUCUCCACAUGUGAGAAGCUUCGACUCUGUUCCUCCAAUUCCUCCAAUCACAUAAAACUUUCCAUCCAUGAACACCCCAGAACACAUCUUCCUCGGUUUCUUCAUGCUUGGAAGUGUCUUCCAAAUUCCCAAUUCAGAAUUAUAGAGCUCUGCGGAACUGAGGAUAGUGCCACGUGAGUUGCAACCACCAGCUAAUAUUGCAAUCUCCCCGAGGCUGGCAGAUCCAAACAAACACCUAGGCUCGUUCAUGUUUGGUCCCGAUGACCACGUGUUGGUCAACAAGCUAUACCGGUAAGUGAUAUGAGACAUGAGAUCCCACCCGAAAACAAGAAGCUCAGUGCCAACAGCCAAAGAUUCCUUAUCUGCACACCCAAAACAGCCAUUAGGAUUCAUACUUGGUAAAUGCAUCCAACGGCGCCGACUCGGGUCAAAGGCUUCCCAUUCGAGAAGAUGACAGGAAAAAUAAACCCAGUGCUCGACCACGCCAUUUAGCCUCCUCAAUCUAUAGAGCUCACCGCUUCUAACAAGUGAACGAAAACUACUGUUUAGAGAUGCAAUAGCACCGUAAUCAGCUCUCGAGGACCGAAUUAGACAACUAAUAGAGUUGUCACGACCAAUAGUAGCGAUCAAAGAACUCGAAUCAGAAUCAGAAUUUUGUCCUGCAUACUGCUUAUUACCAGAUUUCUCAGAAGCGGACAUUAAAAACCCACCAAUUGAUAAAGAUGUAUCUACAAAGAUUCCCAAUUUCUUAGACACCUUUCUGACAACAACUUCUUUCUCUCCAUCUGUUUCUAAAGGUCGCUUACCGCGCGGAACCUCAAUUUUUUCCAGCCGUUGAUUCAUGCAAGGCCAAUUGCUUUCUUGUUCACAGGUCCUGGAAUAGUCCCCUGAGACUAAACAUACCCGAUCUUCCACCAUCUCCUCGAGAUGUGACGGCAAAAGAAGCACCUCUUCUUUAUUGAAACCACUCCAAAUCCUCGUCUCUUCAACAACUGCAAUCCGCUGAUAAAAAUGGAUAACCAUAUAUCCAAAGUUCCAGAUGCAAUAAAAAGUAAUUGUCAAGUUGUGGAAAAGAACAUAUGCGGAAAAAAACUUAUCUACUGAUAAAAUUGAAAAACUCGGGAAAAUUAUUCAUCUAUACGGGGUUGUUCAUUGGUACCAGUUACCCGAGGAAAUUUUUAUUCAGCAAAAAAAAAUAAUAAUAAUAAAAUCACAUUAAUUAUUAUUUCUGUGAAAAUUCAAUAAGACUAUUAAACUAGAUCAACAGAUUAUCAAUAAAAAAAACUGUCCUCGACUAAGUACUAAAUUAGAAAAAUGACUUCUCAAACAACAGUACAUACCAAUCGGCAGAGAAAACCAGGUUCAAAAUUCAAAAACAACAUAACAAUCAAAUCUUUUGAUGAAAUAAAACAAAAAUAAUUCAACAAAGCAGCCCAGAUCUCUACAAUUCAGAUCAAACAAUACCCAGCUGCGAAGAUCUUAUUUUAAUCAAAAUCAAAGUUUUAAUAAUGCAAUCUGUAAACCAAUAAAACGAAUUCAAUAUUCAGAUUAGAUCCGCCGAUACUCUUUUAAGAUAAAAACUCAAUCACUGUUUAGCAUCAAGAGAAUAACAAGAAAGCAAACAGAAUAAACAAAAAAUCAAAUGAAAAGGAACAAAAAAAAUACACAGAAAUCGUAAUGAUUAAUAGUGAUAAAAUUAAUAAUGGAUGGUAAAAUUAAUAAUGGAUGGGACUUACAUAUAAUGGAUAAGAAGAUGCAAAAGGAGAACCUGAAUGAAAUUAUAUGAACAGAACAAUUCCUUCUCUCUCUCUCCCACCUUUAUAUGUAUGUAUUUAUGUAAAUUCCAGUAUAUAAUUAUGCAUAACUUGUGUGUGUGCGCGUGUGUGUGCGUGUGUGAGAGAGAGAGAGAGAGAGAGGCGGGGGUUNNNNNNNNNNNNNNNNNNNNNNNNNNNNNNNNNNNNNNNNNNNNNNNNNNNNNNNNNNNNNNNNNNNNNNNNNNNNNNNNNNNNNNNNNNNNNNNNNNNNNNNNNNNNNNNNNNNNNNNNNNNNNNNNNNNNNNNNNNNNNNNNNNNNNNNNNNNNNNNNNNNNNNNNNNNNNNNNNNNNNNNNNNNNNNNNNNUUUAGUCUCUCAGCUAAAAAAAUUCUUACAAGUAAAUUUAACUUAUUUUUAUUAUUUUAUUUAAUUUCAUCUCCUUAGUAAAAUAAAGCUUUAUUUUCUAUACUAUAUGAUUGAUGUUUUAAACUUUCUUCAUUAGAUUCCAAAUAUAUAUAAAUCUUAACUGUCGUUUUAUUCAUUUUUGUCAUUUUAGUCCAUUAGUCAUCCAUGGCUGUAUAUAGCACCCUUUUUUUUUUUUUUUUUUUUAAGUUUUAACAGUACGUGGGAAUUUGAAUGCAAAAGGUACUGUGAAAGAUCUAUAUAGACAAACAUGUAUGGUUAUAGGAAGAGUCGUAGAAGAAGACUUAAUUGUUGUGAUUGAUUACGAUACAUUCUCGUAACGUUUUGAAACUAUUGAAAAUAGAGAUGAGGAAGCGGUGGAAAUUGUGGUGACAGAUCAUUUACAAUUGUGGACGUUAAAGUUGAGUUUUUUCGUUUAUUGAUGAAGGAAUAUCGAGAAUUAAGAAUAUGCAUUAACAACACUUGUCUUGAAAGGAUUAAAAAGUGAAUUCGAUCGAGAAGAAUCAUAUCCUAUUUGUCUACCUAGCGCAAUUAGAGAAUUUUUUCUUAAAAAGAAAUAGAUUUUUUUUCCUUGAAAAAUAAAAUAUUUUCUAUUUUUUCUUGGAAAAUUAAAUGUUAAUCCAAAUGCUAAGGUAGAUUUCUUUUGUAGUCACCUAGUGGGAUAUUUUGGAUGCGGCGAACCGUGGUGAAAAGUUAAAUUAUCAAGAGCAAAGUCCGAUAAAAAUAUUAAAAUGGUUUAUCUGAUUAUUUAUAUUUUCCUAAGUGUCAAAGAAAAUAUUGAAAUUUUUAAUUACACAAAAAUUUUGAGAAUUGACUUCGGAAAAUUACUUAGAUUUUUUAAUAAUAAACAAUAGAGAUUAUUUUAUUAACAACUUAUUAAAUAACGAAAUAUUGACCCUUAUUAUGUAAUUGAAGACAACGAGUAAAUUCAAAAUUGACUCAAACUUCUUGAUGAAAACCACAUUGUGUUGAAAACAUAGUACAAAAGCGGUGGAAAGACCAAAUAUUAGGCAAAAUGUACAAUUAAGAUUGAAAUUCAUUGAAUCUUCCGCUUGCACCCUUUAUCAAUGUGGAAGAUUAAAAUAAUGUGAUCAACUUAAUCGAAGAAAAAAAAUUCCCUUCAAAAUAAGAUUCCAUUAAACAUGUCAAUUGUCAAUUUUUAAACCAACGGUUAGUUUCACAACCAUGUGAUCCACCACUAGGGCUGACUUGAUUAAAGUCUGCCACACUUGAUGAAGUUGAAAAAAUUCAUAUCAUAAAGAAUUUUCUUUAUAUUCGAUGUCAAUAGCAAUGUAAAUAUUUGUCUGAAUAAUAAUAAAUUAGUUUCAUUUUAAAUAAAUUUUGGACACAAGAGGUGUGAAAUAGAUAGUACUGUCAAAAAUGGACCAAGUCAAUACGUUUAACAAAAAAAAAAAAAUUAGUGAUCAAUUCAAAAAUUGGUUCAACCAUACAUAAAAAUUGAAAAUAAAACCCCAAUAAAAUUAGCAAAGAAUGUCUUGUUCAUUUUAUUUUUUUUAUUUUUUUUAUCAUGUAUCACUAUUUUCGAUCAUCAAUUAGACUCUUGACACUCGAUGCUUUAUUUUUUCCGUAUCAAUAUCCGAAAUAUAAAUUUAAUCUUAACACUCGAUACUUUAUCUUUUUCGGAUCGAAAUUCAAGAUAGUGUUUAAAGCAUAGAAAAUUUUGAUAAUAUAUUUUCCUUCUUUCUUUCCUUUUCGGGUUUGUAUUGUGCAUGAAUUCUCAAUAAUCAUUUCAACUUUAAUAACAACCACUUUUAUUUCUAUAUGUUUAAGAUAUGGUCGGCUUCUAACUUUCUUGCCUAAUCACCUUGAGAUAAUCAUCACAUCCAUUUAACCUGUCCCUUCAUUGAUUUGUUAAUCCUACUUUUUCUUUCUAUAAUCUUAAUUAAGACCUUUAAUAGAGUUUUGAUCAAAUAACCCAAACAUGGGUCAAUUAUUAAAAAGGGUACAACGACUCAAACAAGUUAGGCUAUCUCAGACAAUCCCUUCAUUGAUUUGUUAAUCCUACUUUUUCUUUCUCUAAUCUUAAUUAAGACCUUUAAUAGAGUUUUGAUCAAAUAACCCAAACAUGAGUCAAUUAUUAAAAAGGGUACAACAACCCAAACAAAUUAGGCUAUCUUGGACAAUUAAAUUGCUUAGAUAUAUGCACGGAAAUAGUCAAUUAAAUGUAUUUGAUUGAUUUAAUUUUCAACCUAAAAAUGUUAUGCUUGUCCAUUUUUUAUUGGUGGGUGGAUGAGAGCGAAAGAGAGAAGAUUAUUUGGAAAAUAAAAACAUACUCCGCUAAAGAAAAUAUUUUCCUUAUUUUUAAAGAAAAUAUGGUCAUGUGAAAAAAAGUAACGAAAUGUUUUUCAUCAAAAAAUAUCAAUCAAACAGUACAAGAGUAGAAAAUUUGAUGGAACAAUGACAUUUCUCACGAAAAAUAUUGACAAUCAAACGCACCGUUAGUGGAAAUUACACCUAACCAAAAUUUUAAGAUCCAAUUUUAAAAAAUCAUAUCUAAAUUUUGUUUAUACAAAAAUCAGAUACUAACUCAAAUCCUUAACAUUAAUAAUAUUCAAUAUUCUCUAUCUUUUCUCUCUAAAUCAUAACCACCCAAAUACUAAAAAUCACAAAUCAUAAUCUCUCUCUCUCUCCAAUGGCUUCGUCGACAACAGGUAGAAAAGAGGUGACUCCAACGAUCGCAACACAACUUGGAGCACAGAUGUACAAGACUCGACGCAACGGCAAAACCACCGUUAUGUUAUCAUGUGCAAAGCCACCAGAUCGCCGCCACCGUCACUGCUACAACAUCCACCCCUCCUCUCUCUUUAUUACAUGGAAGACUACUAUUGAAGACCACCGUGCAGGUCCAUUCUUUCUUCUUCUUCUUCUCUUUUUUUUUUUUUAGCUUUUCUUGUACUUUUGAUAUUCUACAACUUUUUCUCUAUAUAAUAAUUCGUUUAUUGACAUUUUAUGAUUUAGUAGAUUGGGGUGGUGAUGAUGGUGUGUUGUUUUUGCAAUUGUCAUGGUGCUAUGCAGUUGUUGGUGUAGUAGUGGUGUUGUAGGUGCAAUCAUGUUGGCGUUGUGGCGAUGGCUCUAGCGAUGGUGUCUUGGUUGUUGUGGUGGGUUCAAACAUUCUGUGGUGGUGUUGUGGAUGAUGUGGUGGUGAUGUUGGCGAUUCGAUAUGGCAGUGGUGAUCGGGAUGAUGGUGUUGUGGCAAUGUUUUGGUGGCUAUGAUGGUGAUAUUGGCAGUCUGGUGUGGCAGUGGUGGGGAUGGUUGUUCCGGUACUCGUUGGUAGGAUGGGAUGAGAUGAGAUGGGGCAGGGAUGUUUGUGAUCAAGUAUUUGAUUGACUGUGAUCAAUUAUUUGGUUGAUUGUGACAAAUAAAUAAUAUAUGAUCUAAAAAAUGUGAUUGUGACUCACAAUUUAUUAAGUUGCGAUCGAAAAAUAACUUGUGACUAAUUAAUUUAAUAAUUUUUGACGUAUUGAUUUGUAAUUAAUAAAUAAAUUGUGACUUGUAAAAUUUUUUAUUUGUGUAAAUUAUGAUUUAUAAAAUUUUUUAUUUAUGAUUGAGGAAUAAUUUAUAACCAAUUAAUUCAAUAUUUUGUGACCAGAUUGUAUGAAAUUGUGACUUUAAUAUAUUUAACUAAUAAAAUAUGUUUUUAAAUCAUUAUUUCAUAAAUAAAUUUUAAUAAUAUCUUAUUUUUAAGUUUUAAAACUUGUUUCCUAAUUUUGAAAUUUGUUAUAGUUAACCAUUUAGUUUUGAAAAUUUCCCUUAAAUUUAAUCUCGUGAUUAUGGUCUUUUGUACCAUCAGGCGCCGCCUGAUGAGAAAGAAACAUUCAAUAUUAGUUAAACAAAUAUAUUUUUUUUGACACGAUCAAAAGAAUAAUAGUCACGAGAUAAAUGACUACCUUAACUUUAUUAUCUCAAGGAUUUAAGAGGGAUUUGCUAUUAACACGUAAUAUGCUUUUCAAGAGCCUAACAAUGGCCGCCUAUUCUUUUAGUAGGCACAAUUCAAUUCUCUAACUAAGAGUCCGUAUGUUUCUCAUUAUUAUAGUAAGAAUGUAUUUUAAAAUAGUAGAUCGAUGAAAAAUGUGUGAUUAAAAAAAUAAGUUUUUUUUUUAAUUUGUGUGUAAUAUUAUUUUAUUGAAAAAUAUAUGACUGAAAGAAAAAUAUAAUUUGAAAAAAAUGAGUAUCAAAUAAAGGCUAAAUGUUAGUUUCGUAUCUGUUGACUACUCAUAGAUUAAAGGGUUAGUUCAACUCAAGUGGAAGCAAAAGCAUAUUAUAGUGGCCCCCCGGGGUACAGCUCAACUGGUAGAUCAAUCAACAUUUGUCUUGUUUUCAGUGGCAGGGUGGAGGUUCGAAUUCUGGUGGGAACCUGAAGUCAGAUUUAUUUGGUAUGGAGCAAUCACUUUGGAGGAAGAUCUCUUGUGCACAGAAGUGUACAGGCGGUGGGGGGAACCUGUGAUCCAAUUGAGGCAUAACUCGCGAUUUACCCCCUCCAAGGUUCUAGGGGCAAGGGUCUUGGGGGUUUAGGAUUUAGUUUAAUGUAAACUGGGAUACCUGAAUAUAAAAAAAAAAAUGCAUAUUAUAGUGAAAGAAUGAAAAGGCGUUAGUUUAUCUUGAGUCACACCAAAACCAUAUAUAUCUAGCUAAAUCAGUUCGAUUCUAGUUAAAAUUCGUCAUGUUAUUAGUUUUAGCUAUAAAUUGGAAUUUCUAAAAACUAUUUUCACAUAACCGAUAAUUAAUAUGCUUGAUUUAUUAAUGCAUAAGAUUAUUAACAACUUGUUGCCUAAAAAAGAAAGUGUGAAAAGUGAAAUUAGAAAUUUUAAACAACAAUUUACCCUUUAUAAUUUAUUUUUGAGGGUAAAAGUGAGAUUUUGUGUGAGAUGGAAAGCAGUUAACGACAUUACAUAGAUGUUAAGAUUGAAAAAUUAAAAUAAAUGAGGUGUUAAUUUAAAAUGACGUAUUAAUUACUAAUUGAAUAAACAAUAAAUUGGACAACAAAAAUUGAGCAUCAGAUCUAACAAACCAUCUUCUCUAAUAAAGGGUCCCUACCAAUUACCGGGUAUGUUACCUAAAAAAGAAAGUGUGAAAGGAGAAAUUAGAAAAUUUUAAACAACAAUCUACCCUUUAUAAUUUAUUUUUGAGGAUAAAAUUGAGAUUUCGUGUGAGAUAGAAAGUAGUUAACGAUGUUAUUUAGCUGUUAAGGUUGAAAUACCAAAAUAGAUAACACGUUAAUUAAAAAUAACGUGCGAAUUAUUAAUUAAAUAUAAACAGUAAAUUUGACAACAAAAAUUGAACAUUUCAAACCAUAUUCUCUAAUAAAGGGUCCCUACCAAUUACCGAGUAUGAAAAGGGUAUAACUUGACUUCCGUGCGGCGCACGUGACCAGUGGAAUUUGUCUUUUAAAAGUCCGAUUCGAUCUAAUCCAAUACUGGUAGCGCAGUCCACACGCGUCGGUGAAUUGUAAUUCAACCAAUGAGAAAAGUACACGAAUCUUGGACGCCGUGCCACGUGACGGCGCACAUUAGGGCUUCUCAAUACACACUUGCCUCCCCAAAAGCACCUAAUGUAUUAACUUUUAUAAUGAUUAUUAUAAUCUAAUUAACCUUUUAUUAAUUGUUAAUAAUACUUAAUUAAUGUUAAUUCCUAAUUUUUUAAUUCUACAACAAAUCGACAAAGAAGAGUAAUUUAAAAAGAAUUACUGGCGUGAGAAUGUCCGCCUGCGACAUCUUUAGCUCCUCCGGCUAUAAAUAUUGAAUGUAUUAUUUCUGGUGCUUUUACUCGAUUAAAUUAAAUAUGAGUGGACGAUGUAUUUACUUAUGAAAAAUGUUAUAUUGGGGUUACAAUUUCAAUUUAGGUAACGUUAGAUGAUAAGAUAAAUGAAACGUUAAACUAAAUGAUUUAUUUAAUUCUACCUAUCAUUUAAUGUCACAUUAACGUCAUUUAAAUUGAAAUGUAACUUCAAUUGGACUUAAUAGCAUUACUCAUUACUUAUUUGUUCAUUUAUGUCGCCUUAGGUCGUGCUUUUUCAUAGUGAUUCAAUGCAUUUUUACUUUUUAAGUUGAAUUCACGUUAGAUGUCUUUUGUUUCCAUUCUACCUAUUAAUGAUAUGACAUGAAAUUUUGUUUGUUACGCAUUACUUGUUUAUAUAUGUUAUGAAAGCUCGAUUCCUCGAAUUUUUGAGAUAUUUGAAAAAUUGGGAUUCCAAAUUUACAAUUUAAAAUCGUUCACCUUUCUUAAUCAUUUGUUGAGCAUAUUACAAGUGGAGAAUCUUUCAAUUAAGUGGGUGAUGAAAUACAUUUCCCAUGAUCAUUUGUGAGUUCAAGAAUAUUUUGCAUGUGCACAAGUUGAGAUUAUUGUAAGGUAGUAAAACAAAAACAUGUUAGCCCCUUUUAUCAUUAUUCAAUAUUUACGCGUUUAAAUAUAGGUCGGAUAUAUAAAUUAUGUGUCUUAGACCUUAUUCGAUGUAAAUUUUUUAAUAAUGUAUUUUAUGAAAAGUGAAUUUAUUUUUAUUUUUUUACUAAUUAUUUUUUUUUAUUUUUUAUUUUUUUAAGAAUGUGUGGUUAAAAAGUAUAGAAAAGUUAUGAGUCCUAAAAUUAUUUUAUUUGAAAAAUGUAUGAUUGAAGAUGAAUUUGAACAGAAUGAUUUUCCAAAAAUCUCUACCAAACAGAUGCUUAAAUCAAUCAAAGGCAAUUCUCGGCCUUCCAAGAGACGGGAGGAUUGAUCUUUUUAUUCAAGCCUUUGUCCUCUAUCUUACAUUUUGAAUUUUUAAUACUUCGUGCUAAAGAUGCUUUUGAACAAAUAAAAAGGUAAAAAUGGAGAAUGGUAUGUUCUCCAAAAUUUUCAAUUUGAUCCCCAAAUGCAUCAAACCAUCAAAUCAAAAGCUUAAACACAAGUGGAUCAUAUUAAUUACUUAAUUAGGAACACUGAUCAUGUUAUUGGAAGAAGUAUUAGAUAAUUGUUAUUUGUCUUUUUAAUAUUUGUAAAUAAUAUUUUUUGGGAUGUUUAGAUUCUCCACAUUAGUCUUUUGGCACGAAUGAUGUAUUUGAGUAUUUCUACUAUUUAUAUAAAAACUAAUCUCGAAAAGGUUUCAAGAACUUUAUUGUUUACGUAUUGUUUGAGGGAAUUUUUAAGCUUUUUGGCUAAUUAAGAAUCUGCUUUUAUUCAAGGAUAUAUAAUGUGAAGACAAAACAAUUUAGCCCCUGUUUCACGAUCAUUAUUUGAAUUUUUUUCUACAUACUCAUUUUUAUCCCACAUUCGCACAAUAAAAUAUUCUGCAUAUAAAUUCAAAUUUUUUCUUACUUUUUUAAUCACACGUUCUUCGAAAAAGUACUAUUCAAAAUAUUGUUUUAUAAAAUAAUGAUCAUCAACGACGGCUUAAUAAUAAAAGAAUAAACAAAGAAAUAUUAAAUAAUAAACCGUGUGGUUCAAAUUAGUACAAGUCAUUCCAAUAAUUUGAUUUGAUAGUAAUCUACUCGCUUCAAUUUUUAGUCCUCGAGAGGUUAGAGUGAAUAAAAUGUAGAAAAAAAUAAUGUUUAACGUACAUAAUUAUUUUAUUGAAAAAUGUGUGAUAUAAAUAAUUUUAAGGAAAAAAAAACAUAAUCAAACAAGGGCUUAAUUUUACAACCAUCAAUCUAAAAUAGGUUUGCAAAAUGAGGCAAGUACCUAGGCUUUGUGAUUGCACCUCCUAGAUUUCAUUGAUAUUACUAAUGGUUGCCAAACUCCUAUUCAAUGAUUAAGCUAUUGAACCUUUUUUUUAUUAAGAAGUAGAAGGUCACGAGUUGGUGGAGUAGGUGAACGCGAAAGCAUUUAGUCACGAAUUCGAUUAUCCCUAUCAACACUUUCUCGAUCAAGCAUGUCACACCGAGCUUGCAUAGUGCUGCUUACCUAGCUAGCUUGAUUUGCAGGUUAUUGCGUCAACUCGAGGGGUUUACCCAGUGCGCACCCGAAGGGUAACGGCCUCAGGAUUCUCCCGUCAUUAAAAAAUAAAAAUAAAAAGGAAAAAAAAGUCAAUUUUAGAAAUUUAGAAUGUGAAACAUCAAAAUUACAAUGUGAAUAUACUAUUUUGAAAGUUCCUCGUCGACUUACUCACUACAAAUAACGUUAUUAUAUUGCAUAUAAUGUUAAUAACGCUCAAUUAUGUCCUUAUACUAAAUUUGGAUAAAAGUUGCCUAUCCAGACAAGUGUAUAUUGUUUGUAAAAUAAAAAUUCUACUCAUAAGUAGUCGAAUCACACAAAGAGACCAAACGAUCCAUAUAGAAAACUAUAAACUGCUCUUAUAAUAUACUUGUUGACUUAAUAUAAGUAAAUUAAUAAUUCAAUUUCAUUCAUAUAUAAAUCCGACUCAUUCAUAUACUCGAAUAAUUCAUGUAUAUGCUCGAAUAAAAGUACUUAAAAUAACUGGAUAAUAAAAUAUAUGACAUUUGAAUCCUUUCUUGACAUGAAUUUAAAGAAAGAACUUAAAAAUAUCAGCACUUUUGUCAGUCGCCCUUACAAGAUUACCUGGAUCAAUAUUAGGCCCAAAGCACAUAAAUUAAAUAGAAAAAAAUUGCAAUGCAACAGUAUUUUAGUGGAAAAAGGUCUCAUAAACAAAAAUGUUCUUCAAAUCCCUAUAUUGAAUUGAAGAAAUUAUCACAUAAAAUUAGAUGAUAAAAAGGUUUAAGCUUGAAUUGGUCGAGUGAAUUACGUGUUGUAUAUGACAUUUUUAACAAGUGAAUAAAUAAAAAUCGUCUAUUAGAAUUUAAAGUGUAGGAAAAUUUUGGUAGGAUGAUCCUUGACAUACGCUUGAUGAGAUCGUCUAUUCAAGUGAUGACAAAUUUUUCGUGUCCUAUUUAAUUUUUAUUGUGUUCCAAAUUUAGUAAAUAGUAAUUGAUAGGUGUGUGGGAAAUUAUUAAACUUCAAAAAGACAGUCAUUCGUUUCUUACAAAGUCCGUAUGUGUGUUUCACUGUUUUGUGCUUUUAAAGUUGAAAUAAAUAUUUAACAAAUCCAACUACACAAAUAUUAUUGUGAAAGACAAAAUCUGUUCAUAUAUUUAAGAAACGCUGGAAUAUUCUUAAUCGUAGUUGAAAUAAAGAUAAUAAUAUUAGAAUUACAAUAGUGGGAUAUGUAAAUUGUUUAGUUUGAAUUGUAAUUUAUUGAAUUCCGUUUGAAUCUUUGAUCGAAAUAUAUUUUUAUUUAUAUGCUAAAAUAUUUAAUAAAUAUUUAUAAAUUAUUUUUGUCGUCAUGUCAUUGAGUUUGUUUGAUAGAUUUGUAAAGAAAAGAGGUUGGAAAAAUGACUUGAUUAAGCUUAUAUUUGGCACAAUUUUAGAUGGGAUCCAUCAGUUCAGUUUGGAAUAUCAAAAUCGACCCAUGUUCUCCUCUAUAAGAACGUGAAAUCAUAUGUUUACUUGUCAAAAAUGAUGAACGUGUCAAUGAGAAAUUGGUGUUCAAAAUUGAUCAUCGGAAGAAUGUUUAUGUUGGAGGGAAAACUAUAUUUAGGUUUAUCCCACAUAAGAAGUUAAUGAAAGCAAUGACUACUUUCUAGAUAGUUAUACUUUUUACAUCGAGUUUUGAACUUAUAAGUGUUCACGUUUAAGUGUUCACGUUUUGCUAAUAUUUGCUUUCUCCAAUUGACUUUUUGGUUUCUAAAACUGCUGAAACUCUUACUUUCUCCAAUUGAUUUUAGCUUCUGAAACUGUUGACAUUUCAAUGGUUAUUGUCAUUAUAAUAUUAAAUUAAUGGACAAAUUUACUCACCAUUCAUGAGGGCCAAGUUUAAAACUGAGCUUUUUUCCACCAUUCAACAUCAGAAAAAAUUACAAUACUCUUUUGCAUAGUUUCCAGUUCUAAUUUAUAAAAAAAAUUGUCAUUACCGUCUAAGUCUUAGUGAUGCUGUUCUAACACGAAUUCAUUUCGUCGGAGUAGAAAUUAAAGUGCUCAAAUUUUACUUGUUCUUCGAUUGUAUUUUGGGAGACAGACAUCCAAACAAUACCUCAAACAUUUACGGUGAGGGGACGAAUCUUUUUUAAUGGAACUGUGUACACAUAGGCCUCGAAUUGCAUAUUUAUAUUAUUCUUAGCGCAUAAUAUAUUUUUGUAUUUUUCAUUCUAUUUUUGUUUAUAUUCUUACUGUAAUAAAUAAAAUUCAUAUUAUUAUAACAAAUUUAAAAUAGAUUCGAAAGUAAGAACAGAUAUAUUCAUAUAUUAUUAUUCAAAAAUAGAUAUUCAUUCGAUUUUUCAAAAAUGGCAACUGAAUCAACCAACAUGGAUGUGACUCAAACUGUGGUUACUGAAAAUCAGGCUAUGGACUCUGUUGUGGCUCAAGGGCCUAAUUUGUUGUAAUUUAGACUAUGGCUAAAUUGUCAAGUCAUGCUGUGAAUCAAACCGCGGCUUUAACAACUGGCCAUAUGUUACCGUUCCAGUUAAUCAUGGAGAAAAAAUUGAAAAAAUUCAACGGCUAGAAUUUCAAAAGGUGACAGUAGAAAAUGCUAUUUUACUUUACCAUCUUGAAUUUUGCGAUAUUUUUGAUUGAAACUGCUCCAAAAUUCAAAAACGACGAGGGGGUGUUCAAGCAAUUAGUGCACUUGAUACUUGAAACCAUUCAAAUUUCUUGUGUCAAAACUAUAGAAUAGCCUGACAGAUUCACUAUACAACUCCUAUAGUACGAUGAAAAUUACAAAUGACUUGUUGGAGUCUUUGGACAAAAGAUAUAAAAUUGAGGAUGCUAUGCUAAAAAGUUCAUUGUUUGUAUAUUCUUAGAUUAUAAAAUGGUGGACUCAAAAACUGUAAUCAUUCAAUUGCAAGAACUUCAAGUGAUUCUUGUGAGAUUCAUGCCGAGUGAAUGAUUUUGAGUGAAACUUUCCAAGUAGCUACAAUUAUUGAAAAGUUACAUCCGGCAUGAAAUGAUUUUAGGAAAUAUCUUAACAUAAGAGAAAGAAAAUGAACAUCGAAAAACUUAUUAUUAGAUUUCGAAUUGAAGAAAUAUAACAACAGUUUAUAAAAGAAAUAGUUCAAUCCUAGUAUUGCUAAAGUCAAUGUUGUAGAGCAUGGUCAAAAUCAUAAGACCUAAAAAAAUAAACAUGGGACAUCCGAGGGUAAAAGGACCAAGCUAUGACCAAAAUGUGGAAUUUCUAAAAAGAAAUUUAAAGAAAAAUGUUUCAACUGUGACAAAAUGGGUCAUAAGUCUUCGGAGCAUAUAUUGCCAAAGAAGAAGAAAGAAGCAAAUGUAGUUGACUAUAUAGCACAUGAUGUAUCGGAUAUGAAUCUCGUAAUCAUCAUUUAUGAAGAUAUGGUGGGUUCAAACCCACAAGAGAGACAGAUUGACACCAAAGCUGCGAGGUAUGUGUGCUCUGAUAAAGAGUUGUUUACUACUCUCGAAGUAAUUGAGAACGAAGAGAAGUUGCUUAUGGAAAAUUCAGGAACUUCUGAAAUCAAGGGUCAAUGAAAUAUGAUUUUGAAGAUGACUUCGAGAAAAGAGAUGACUUUUAACAAUGUGCUAUAUGUGUCAAAAAUCUACAAGAACCUAUUGUCUGGGUCAUUUUUGAAUGACAUGAUUUUUGUAUUAUAUUUGAGUCGAACAAAGUUAUUUUAUCAAAAAGUGGAAUGUUUGUUGGAAAAGAUUAUGUCUUCGAUCAUAUGUUUAAGUUAAAUGCAAUGGUUGUUAAGCCAAAAAUGUGAAGUAAAUUCUUCUGCUCAAUUUGUAGCAUGGUAGACUAUGACAUAAAUACUAACUACGAUACUUUACGCAAACGAAUAAACUUGAAUUGCAUGCCCGCAUUCCAUAUUGAUUCCAAACAUAAGUGCGAAACUUGUGUUCAGAAAAAACUGACAAGGUCAUCAUUUAAAUCAAUUGAACGGAAACAAAGCCAAUUGAUUUAAUUCUCAGUGACAUGCGAUUUAAAGUCUGUACAAACAAAAGGUAACAACAAGUACUUCCUUACUUUUGCCGAUGAUAGCACAAAAUAUUGUUAUAUGAAUUUGCUUAAAAGUAAGGAUGAAGCCAUAGAUAAAAUUAUUCUCUAUAAGAAUGAAAUUGAAAAUUAACUUAAUAAGGGUGGAAGUUGUGUUAUCAGCAAAUUACAUUUUAAAUAAGGUAUCUCGACAGAAAAUGGAAAACCCCUUAUAAGUUAUGGAAAUGAAGAAAGGAAAGGAAGAAAGUCUUCUUAUAAAUACUUACAAAUGUGGGAUGUCUUGCUAAAGUGGAUGUUCCAACACCAAAGAAAGUAAAAAUAGACCCGAAAAUUGUAGACUGUAUCUUCAUUGGUUAUGUUUGUAAUAGUAGUGUUUAUUGAUGUUUUAUGCAUGAAUCUAAAAUCUCAAACACACACAAAAACAUGAUAAUGGAAUCGAGAAAUGUUUCAUUUUUUGAAUAUGUAUUUCCGUACAAAUUCAAAAAUGAAACAAGCUCUUCUAAACGGACACAUGAGACUAUGGUUAGAAAUAGUCAGGACCAAGAACUAGAAGAAGAGAUUGAGGUUGGACCAAAAUGAAGUAAAAGAGAAAUGACAGGAAAAUCUUUAUGGUCCUGAUUUUCUAAUUUAUAUGCUAAAAAGUGAACCUCAAAGUUAUCAAGAAGUUAUAAACUUUUCAAAAUGACCUCAAUGGAAAGAUGCCAUUAAAAGUGAAAUAUAUUUUAUUUUGCAAAAUUAUACAUGGAAGCUAGUGGAUCUUUCUCCAAGAAGUAAACCACUAUGCUACAAAUAAAUUUUCAAAAGAAAAAGGAAAGUAGAUAGAACUAUCAAAAAGUAUAAGGUCAGAUUAGUAACAAAAAGUUACAAACAAUGAGAAGGCCUUGACUACUUUGAUAUAUAUUUUCUAGUGACGAGAAUAACAUCUAUUAGGAUGAUACUUACAAUUGUCGCUCUGCAGAUCUCGAAGUAUAUCAAAUGGAUGUUAAAACUGUCUUUUUAAGUAGAGAUUUAGAGAAAGAAAUCUACAUGAAACAACCUAAGGGGUUUUCAUCACCAGGCAAAAAAAGAAAGUCUGUAAAUUAGUGAAGUCAUUUUAUAGUUUAAAACAAACACUCAAACGAUGGCAUGAAAAAUUUGAUAUUUUCAUGGUGGAGUGUAGAUUUAAAAUCAAUGAGUACGAGAAAUGUGUUUACGUUAAAGACAACAAUAAUGAUUAUGUUAUUUUAUGUCUUUAUGUUGACGACAUGCUUAUUGUUGGUAGUUAUAAUAAGAUGAUUAAAUUCACUAAAAAUAUGUCAAAUUCCAGAUUUGAUAUUAAAGAUAUAAGUUUAGCUGAUAUUACACUUGUAAUCAAAAUUUCAAGAAUAUUAGAUGGGUUCGUUCAAAAUCAAUCACAUUAUGUGCACAAAAAUAAAAAUAAAAUUAACAAUGAUGAUUCUGGCAUGGUUAAAACAUCGACAUAUACAAGUCAAUAUCUAUCUAAAAAUAAGGUGAAAGUGCCUCUCAAGUAGAAUACUUGAGAAUUAUUGAAAUGCUAAUGUACUCGAUGAAUUGUACAAGAUAGACAUAGCCUACACAGUUAGUAAACUGAGUAGAUACACGAGUAACUUAGGAAUCGAUCACUAAAAAAUAAUAGUAAGAGUACUGAGAUACCUAAGAUAUAUUCGUAAUUUAAACUGCACUAUACCAUAUGUCCAAUUGUCAUUGAAGGAUAUAAUGAUACUAAUUGGAUAUUUGAUAUAAAAUACUCAAUAUUUACUAGUGGAUUUGUGUUAACAAUGGGGGGUAUAGCUAUAUCCUAAAAAUCCUCUAAACAAACAGUUAUAACUAUAUCUGCUAUGGAAUCUAUGUUUAUAAAUAAAUGUUAUAAAGAGGCCGAGUUGUUAUACAGCUUCUUAGAUGAUAUUUUAAGAUGGUUAAAAUCCGUACCAGCAAUUUGCAUAAAUUGUGAUAGUUAAUCAACAAUUGCCCUGAGUAACAUAUACAACAGUAAGUCUAGACAUAUACGUCAUAGACACAAUAUCAUAAGGCAACUACUUUCAAUUAGAGUUAUUACUAUUGAGUAUAUAAGGUUAAAGGAUAACAUUAUGGAUUCGCUAGUCAAAGGGUUAAAUAGAGAGUUAGCUGGAAAAUCAUCGAAAGGAAUAAGACUUAAGCUCUUGAAUAAAUAAGUUAACGCAAAUAAAAACCAACCUGAUUGUCUGGAGGUCUUAAGAUUUAGAUUCAAAGGGACAAUUUAAUUGUAAAGAUUUAAUUGAAUCACCGUGGGGAUGUUAUCUCAUGUUCAUUCCUACGUUGCAACAGUGAUGCUUGUAAGAAUGAAGGAUAAACAAUAGACUUUUAAUGGUUUUUAUUCGUUGAAAAUCGAGCAAAUUAAUGCGGAUUACUUCCAAUAAAAAAUCACCCAUGUGAGAAAAAAGUUGGAUCGCUUCUAAGAGAAUUGUAUAGUGCUUAAUUCUUAUGAUCUCUCGUCAUGUCUACUGGUCAACUAGUAAAGUAAAUAAGCUCUCACAAGGAAAGGUUCAAAGAGUAAUAACUAUCUGUCCUAUGCAAGUUUCAACCCUUAAACUAUACCAUCAAGUCUUUAUGUUUCACAUUUUUGUAUUACUCCCAAUUUUCAUUCAUGUGGAGGAUUGUUGAAAAAAUGGCUUGGUUAAGCUUACUUUGGUACAAUUUUAGGUGGGACCCAUUUGUUUAAUUUGGAAGAUCAAAGUUAAUCAGUAUUCUCCUCCAUAAAAAUAUUGAAAUCAUAUGUUUACUUGUCAAAAAUGAUAAACGGGUUAAUGAGAAACAAGAGUUCAAAGUCGACCAUUGGAAGAAGGUUAUGUUGAAGGAAAACUAUAUUUAAGUUUAUCCCACGUAAGAAGUUGACAAAUAUAUGUGGUUACACUUUGGAGGGAUUUAAUCAUGUUUAGUAUAGAGAUUCUCUUCAUAUGUGGACGUGAUGGUGCAAAUCAAAGACCAAAAUUGUAUAUCAAAUUUUGAACUUGUGUGCGGGCGCGACCUGCGUCCACAAAUGUCAGACAAAACUAAGUAAAAAUUGGCCCAUUAGGAGUGCCCACGUUUUACUUUCUCCAAUUGACUUUUUAGUUUCUAGAACUGCUGAAACUUCAUUGGUUAUUGUUAUUAUAAUAUUGAGCUCAUGAACAAAUUUACUCACCAUUUAUGAGGCCCAAGUUUAUAACUACGCUCGGUUUUCAUCAUUCAACACCAAAAAAUUACACUCUUCUGCAAGAUUUUUAGUUCUGCAUAAUUUUCAGUUCCAGUUCUUCGCAUAAUUUAUAGUUCCAUUUCUCUAAAAAUUUUCGCCUAAGUCUUGAUAGUGCCGUUCUGACACAAAUUCAUUUAGCUGAAAUAGAAAUGAAGUGCUUAAAUUCUACCGUUUAUUUCGUUGUAUCAUAGGAGAUAGACGUCCAAACUAAACCUCAAGAACCUAAGGUGAGGGGUAAAUCUAUUUUAAGAAAAUUGUGUACACAUAGAUCUCGAGUUGUAGAUUUACAGUAUUCCUAGCAUAUAAUAUAUUUCUGCAGUUUUCAUUAUUUGUUUGUUUAAAUUCUUGCUAUAAUAAAUAAAAUUCAUAUUAUUCUAUAUUAUUAUAACAAAAAGUAUUAGCAAUGAUGUUGCCCAAUGUUAUUGUAAUAAUAUCAUUUAUUGUGGUUUAUUAGUUGAAAUCCAAGAAAAAAAUUUGAGUGGAAGGAUUGAAAGAAGUAAGAGAAAAAAAUAUAAUAAAAAAUAAAUAUGAUACAACAAUGUGUCCUUAUUUCAACGGAAGUUUUGUCACGUGUAUAUUUAGGUUAAUUACAUGAUUGAUCACUGAGCUUUGCGCAAAGUUUCGAGGGGGUCACUAAACUUCAAAACAUUUUCUGUUAGUAAUGGAUGUGAUAACAUUUUAAACUUUUAAAGUUCAGCGACUCCUUCGAAACCUUACACAAAGUUCAGUGACCAACACAAUAUCUUAUUUUUCCUUUUUUCUAUACUCCUAUCGUACAAUUCUAUUCUCUCUAACAUCUCCAAUCGGGUAACUGAAUUUGAUUUUGAGUUUAACAAUUAGCUAUAACCUUCCAUUUUGUGAACUCUGUAGUGGCGUGUAAUAGUUGUUGGGAAUCUACUUAUACAUGAACAGCGGAAUUUAAAAUAAUUUUCGAUUCCCAUCAAGAAUCGUCUUUGUGUUUAGAUAGAAAUUGUGAUAAUGAUUGUACCUUUGAAAAAUUCUGCAAUCCUUUUGCUUUUCUUUUAGCUCCAUCAACCUUGAUUCGCCACCACAGCUGUCCAGUUGUCCAGCCUCCAACGGUGAUCCACACAGAGAAUAAGAUUGCAGCUUCUAGGAUUUUCUCUUGUGCCAGCAAGAAUAAUGAAAACCAUAUGAACCUCAAACCCUAGCCAUGUAUUUAUAUAAACCCAAACGGGCUCGGUCCGAUCUGGUCCGAUCCGGUCCAAUAUUUAAUUAAUUCAAUUAAUUAAACUUGGUCCGUGAAUUAAUUAAUCAAAUUAAUUAAUUCGGGAAUAUAAAUAACAAAUCCAAUUAAUUAAUUUAUUCAACGAUUGUUAAAUUAACCAAUUGGCAAUUUGCAAUCUUCCAAUUCUCUUUUGUGUGCGACCCAUUAGGUUCCCGACCACGAUAUUUAACGACGUGAAAUAUUAUUUUGAUCUAAUCAAAAUUGAUAAAUUAAAACACCCUUUUAAUUUAUCGUCAAUUCAUACUCGCCGUCCCUAAUUGAUAUCUAGCAAUGUGUCAGGAUAAUACACGUGACGAAAAAUGUCACGUGGUAUGACAAAAUCAAAUUCGUUCGUUUACCGUGAAACUAUAAUCCCUUCGUCAAUAUGAUCCGAUCAAUUACGAGAUAUGGCAUUGUGUCAAUCUCGAUCAUCGAUCAUAUCUUUCACUCCACUAUUAAGUCAAUAUAAGUCGAAAACUCAUUUUCGACUUAUGAGUACACCUUGAUCAAGGAUUUCAUUAUUGACUUAAUUGAAUGAAACGCAGAUCAUAACCUCCUACUAUCUAAGAGUGACGAAUCCUUUAUUGAUCAAUCACAACCUUCAUACGAUUCUUGACGUACCCGAACGAUGUCGUAUUAGCGGCCCUUUUCAGAGCAACAUCCAACAUCGUCAAAGUAUGACUGUCCUCAUAUAAGGUACCAUGACGACCUCAAGUCAAAUGACAAAUUUCACUAUCGAACAUUAGAGAUUAACCACUGACACUCAGAUAAUUUUUCAUGUGAAAUCUCUCGGCGGGUCUCCAAUGUUUUGUUCUAUAACAAAACAUCCACGUGUUCAUUUAAGUGUCACCACACUUUAACUUGUGAGAUCAACUACUUACUUCACAAGUAAGAAAUGCCACACGUGAUGGUCUAUCCGUAAUAACGAUAUCCGUAUCUCGUUAUUACUUACGACCAUGGAUGAUUUAAGAUUCAAUCAGAUGUAAUUUGUAUCUCACAAUCACAACUCCUUGUGAUUAACAAAUUACGGAGGUUUGAAUCUUCAGAUCCUAUUAUUUAUUUAAUUGUCCAUUUUAAUUAAAUAAUAGAUCUGUCAUUAAAUUGCAUUAAUUAUAUAUAUAUCAAAAGCAUUUAUGUCCAAAGUUGAUUGGACUUAGGGCAUAAUACUUACAAUAGUUUCAUAGGCGAUUUCGAUUUCGAUUGUCUAUCCAUCAAGACCCACUUCAAUAAAAAUCAGAAAUCUAUUAGAUUAUUAACUGAAGGUGUGUUUGAAUUUCAAAGUUGAAUAUUUUUAAGCGUUCAAUGUUAAAUGGCUUCUCUUCUGAAAUGGUUGGCUAUGUGGAUUUUUGUUGCAUCUUUUUUUUGAGAGAGGUCAACAAACAAUGUUGUCAAUCAUCCUCAAGAUAAAAUGCUAUUAUUUUCUCUAAGUUUGACGAAGCAAGAAAGUAUAAGACAGUGGGGGUAAGAGUACAGGAAAAAUAAAAAAGAAAGAAAAAGACUAAAAAAGUUAAAUUAUCUGAUUGGUUACUGAACUUUACAUAAAGUUUUCAUGGGUCAUUGAACUUCAAAAAUUGUCCCGAUAGUCAUUAAACUUUGCAACAUGUUAUCCCAGUAACCCACUAGAAAUCUUAUGCAAAGUUUAGUGACUAAUUAUAUCUGUACAUUUAGGACAUUUCUUUAAAAAGUUUUAAUUUUCAUGCUAAGAUGUGAAAAACAUAAAAAGGACUAAAAUUUAAAUACAUGAAAGUUAAGUACUCAAAUGUUACAUUACCUAAUAUGUUAUACCUUUGUUGCAAUGUUCCUUGAAAUCAAUGAAAUCCUCAAUCUUCAAGCAUCAUAGUUGAAAAUCAAUCGACUAAUUUUUACUGCCACAAUCUUAGCACUUACAGCAAAUUCUUAAAUACUGCACAAAUUGGUAAUUGUUCAAUAUUGAAGAAAGGGGUUGACUUUGCAGAGUGGUAAAUUGUGCUUCAGUAGUUGUAUCUCGCCCCAUCAUAACUUUGCAACUGGAACGGGAAUCCAAUCACCGGAAAUGUGGAGAGGCAAAUGGGUUUCGAUUUUCAUUGUUUUUGGGUGCAUAUGCCUUCUCUGCAGUGCUUUCAAUGGUGCUCUUCCUACAGUACCCAAAUUAGGAUCCACUCGUGGUGUCUUUCUGGUAUUAGAUUAGUAUGUGUGUGUGUGUGUGUGUUUUUUUUUUUUUUAAUUAAUUACAGUGUUGAUCACUUGAUCCUGGAUGAUUUUGAAAUAUUGGGAUAUUUAGAGUAGAAAAAUUAAUACAUUCGGAAUUUUGAAUGCUGUUGGUUAUUGGAUUACAUCACUUCUCCUUUGAAGAUUAAACCCAAGUGAAUAAUGGAUCUUAGAUCACCUUGAGGUCACAUAAGAGUGAGAUUAUAAUUUAACGGCCUAGCCAAAUAUUUCCACAGAUCUUUUCAUUGUUCUCUUUUAGGUGCCUCCCUUUUGAGAAGUAUGAAAGUGCGUGGCUAACCCUAAAUCCUGAGAAAUGUUCCCACAAAAAGCAUAUUUAUAAUGCUCAAUUAGGUUUCAUAAUUGCACAAUUUUUCUUGGACCUUGUUGUAGUAGGCCAAUUAAGUCAUAUUCNNN